UAGUCGAAAAUAUUCAAAUAAAGUACCUACCGUUGGUUGAAAAAAUCCGCUUCUUUUAAUGUUAGGUAGGUAUCGCAUGAACAAUUCAUAGUAUUUUUUUUUGAAUGCAAAAGGAAACCCACACGUUUUAUAGUAAAGCUAGAAGAUACAAUCGGAAUCAAAAACGAUAGAUGGUUUUAGAACAAUAUAAUUUAUUAUAAUGUAGCGUUGCACAAACGAAUUAAACAUUGUUACGGACGUUCCGAUGUGCUCGUAAUAAUCGUUUUUCGCGUAGAAUUUGUUCGUUUUAUUUUUUUUUUCUCGGGAAUUGAACGUAAUUUAACGUGGUUAUAAAAAAUAACUGCACGCGCAAUAAAUGCGAUAAUACGCACACGUACUAAACGAAAAUUCAGUCGAAAACUGAUGAAAUUCAAUUCGAAAUCUGUUGAAUAAUGAUCGCGUUAUAAUAUAUUGUGUGUAGCAUCAUUUGAAUAAUAUAUACGCGGCGUGUGUUGAUUAAAAUCAAAUAUUUACGUGUUACAAAAGGACAAAGAGAAACAUAUUAGGAUUAGGCGCGUACAAGUAUACAUAAUAAUAAUUGUGUUUGAUUAUUCGGCAAAUAAAACAAUGUUUACAUCGAUCUAACGUUCGAAAACUGUAUAUUGUGUACUGUAUUAUAGUCAAUAGUUGUAAUAAUAAUACUAUGUACAGUUUGACGGUUCAAAUCUGUAACAUUAUAACGCACCCGCGCCGGCGCACCGAGUACACUUGGCGCCCAUGAAUCUGAACGAAUAGCGGACGCAGAUCAAAACAAAACUGCACGUCCGCGUACACGGACGGCGAGACGGAAUUUCAAUUGUACGCGCGCAACUGUUACGGUUUACACGAUGUUUUUGAACGGUGUUUGGAUAAUGCAAUAAACAACGACAAUGUCGGCGGUGUCGGUUCGGCUCGUGGUUAUAACAGAAUAGCGGGAAAAUACGCCGGUCCGUAGGAUCCUCUUGCGUUUAACAUCUUGCACUCUUUCUGCCCGGCAGUAGCGCUCGGUUGUUCCGAGGAAAUAAUGUCCGUGCACAGUUUUCGUUGUGCAAGCAAAAAAGCGUUGCAGCCAUACUCGCUUGACUAUACUGUGUCGACUUAAAGUAAAAUGUCAACGCCGUAUUUAUGUGUGACCAGGCGAAAUAAGCUUUCUUCGUCCGGAUACGACCCGACUCGUCCGACUACCACAAAUAUUACUGCGCAAUAAAUUUGUUGCGAAAUUAUAAUACGAAAUCUAGCGAUCGGCGGUACAACUGAAAUUAUCUUGUCUCGCCGGCGAAAAGGCUCGUGCCACCACUGAUUGCAUCCUUUUAUCAAAAUGCGAUAUUUCGAAAUUUACGCGUUUGUUAUAUUUACUGUUGGUACUAUUGUAUAGGUCAUAUGAAUUCACGAUUACAAUGUUUCGCUGUACACUGUUAACGUUUGAACAUUCGUGCAUUUUUCGUUAAACUUAAAUUUAACAUUUCGUAUUGAUAUUGGACACACGGUGAAUGUUAACAUACCGAUGAAUGUUACUAUUACUUGUAUAAACGUAGAAGUCAUUGAGUUAUCACUACUACAACCCGCGAAUAAACCGUUUCAGGAACGACGACGAAACCACACUAAUAACCCCAAAAUUAUUCGCGGCGUACAUUGGUAGAUUUAUUUUAUCUAAAAUUUAUAAAAUAAUGCACUUAUUAAAUGGCAUUAUGGAAAACGCGAAACGUCUAAUUUAACGUUGCACAAAUAGAUAUAUACAUAUAUAUAUAUAUAUGGGGGGGGGGGAAUAAAUAGGAAAUAAAGUUUUAUUAGCGGGAUCAGACGUAAUAUAACUGUGGUUGUGGUAUAACUUUAAUGGAUGUUUUAUAUCGCGUACACUGAAACCGUACACAUGACGGUGCCUUUGCCCCGAACGAAAUCGUGUACGAUAAUUUUUCGCGACGGUCGUCAUGCGCGUGAGUUCCGUCAAAAUUCAACACCAAUCUCCCACGCGUAGAUAGGUACAUACGUUGCAAAUUUACAUAAUAGAACCGAAUUUUGUCGACAAAACCCCUACUGUCAAAUUUCCGCGCGCUAUAAAAUACGCCCGAUAAAACGUGCGUCGGUGUCCCGCGUCUUGUUGUACGCACAUCACGACGACGCGAUCCCCACUGCCGGAUAAUUACAGUUGCUUUUAUGCGUGUACCGUGAUAAAAUGUACCGAUAGUACUUAUCUUGACCAACGAUUAUGUCCACGGGCACGCGUAAUUUUUCCAGCGAACUAUGUCGGUCCGUUUUUUAUUAGCCCCGUAGAGGAACCUCGUACCUAUACGUUGUACACAAAGUCCCCGCGGGGCCGAACGGUCCCUGCGGGACGAAUUAGACGCGGAUUUUUCGCUCCACCCCCUCUACCGAGUUUCCCUUCCCACCCCUCCCGACACCCCGUCUCGUUUCUCCAUGUUAUAUCGUUAUACCGUUCGCGCACCGCGUGCUGCACAAACGUGACUAAGAUUUUAUGGAGAUAAUUACAGCAAAACGGUUUGGUAGGUAUAUAUGUGCAUACAUUUUUUUUUUUAUUUUUUUUUUUUCCCGACCCCGAGUGUUAUUAUAACGCGAGUAUAUUAUUUUAACGGCUAAAAAACUCGCUCUGUACAAUUUUCCCUCUCGGUAUUAUAUUAAUUUUACGGUGUAUCCGCAUGGCGACUAAAUCCGUACAUUUUUUGUAACGGCGUUUCGCGAUUAUACGACAAUCGUAUAAUAUCGCAUACGCAUAAGUGAAAAUUAAAUUAUCGUCGGUCAAUUCUUUUCCGCUGUUUCUUUGUUGCGAACAAAAAAAUACGCGUAAUCGCGUGACAAAUAAUAUUACUUAAAACGAAUGUUCGUACCCGCGCAUGUACGCGUGCGGAACUAUUUCAAACAUUAUUCGUGAUUAUUAAUUAAUUGUACGAGGAUCAAAUACCUAUGUAAUUAACAUUUUUUUUUUUUUUUUUAUUAAUUGAUUUAAACAUAACUAAUAUCUGUAAUAUGAUUAAACGCAAAUAAAAAUGUUUCAUAACAUUAUGAACUCAAAGAAGAAAUUUUUUUUUCAUGCGAAUUUUCGCAAAAUAUUUUCAUAGGUACUUCGCGAGAACUCGCGUGCGUAUAAUAUUUGUAACCUAUGGAGUAUAAUGACAAAAUAGGACGGUACAGGAUAUGCUGCUGUUUUCGGAAGGAAUAAGUUGGAAUCGGGGUGCACGUCUUACUAUGUACAAUACGUUACACGAUAUUAUACGAAUUACGUUUCCAAUUGUUUAUAGUUUAUACAAUUUUUCUCAUCGCGACACUCGUGUAUUUCGUGUUUUUUUUUUUUAGCUGCAAUAAUUUAUACGUUGGCCCGAUUUGAAAUGGAUUUCUUUCUAUAAUAUAGCAAUCGUAAUAUUAUGGAAACUAUUGUGUUUUUUCGUUAUUAAAUUAUUUAUAAAUCAAUAUUAGGUAGAGGCCUAUUACGAUAAUUCGAUAUUACUGACGUGCAAUUGUUCCGAAGUAUUUAUUGAAAUUGCAGAAUUAAAUUAUUGAACAAAUCGAAUUAACUUUUAUAAAUCGAAAAUAAUAUUGACCUCGUAUUAUAUUAUUAUAAAAUGUCAGUUAUUUUAACAGCCUAUUCGGCAAUAUUUCGUGAAAUAAUUAAUACAACAAAAUUACGCUGCUGUUAUUUUAUGCCAUAGUAUUAUGCGAUAAAAUGCAGAUUUGUUUGAAUUACAGCCACAGGGCACGGCAAAAUGAUAAUAGUGUUUUAGAGGGUGCAUAUUUUUGUCCAUCAAUGGAAUAAUAUUUUUGAUAUCGCACCUUGGAGACGAUAUUAUAUUCGAAAAAAUAUCAUUUAUACUUUAAACGGCAUAAGUAUAUAUGUACUUGUUAAUUCGUUAAAGUUUAUUAUCUAAUGAGUACUUAAUACGCAAUUAUACGUAAAGAAGGUAAAAUUGGAAGAACAAAGGAUAACGGAUGGAACAUAUGCCGUAAAUCCUUAAGGAUAUAAAAAUGAAAAUUUUUAGAGAAUCGAAGAGUUUGAGUUUUGACUGAAUAUACAGCAUGGAUAGCUGCAGCCGACCAAUUGAUAGUUUGAAGACCCGUAGGAAAGAAGAACUACAAAAUAUUAUUGAUAAUAAACAAUGUUUCGUGAUUUUUGGUGAGUUUCGUCAAAAUUUUAAUGUACGGUAUUGGCUAUUCGUGAUCGAAUUUUUUCCCUUGUACAUUGCCAAGCGGUCGGCGAGAUUUCACACAAAAUUUAUUUCCUCGACUCUCACUGUCGACGACGGUGGUGAGAGAGGGGUUGUAAAAUACCGACUGCCGAGACACGCCUGACUAACCGUUAUUAUUUUGCGUACAUUUCCAUAAUAUUCGAUGUAUACUGGCUUAAACCACAAUCGUUUAAUCGUAAAUAUCAACAGACUACGAAUAGGAUACACCAGGCCAUCUUAUGAGAAGGGAGGAUCCAGUAAUGUGUCAAACCUGUAUAGAAUACCUUCACUAUCAGGUCACUAUUUACCAUCAGUAAAAGUAUUAGAUAUUAGAUAUUCGAUAUUAGAUCCAACAUUAACGUCCCAGACAACUUAUACGAAAAAAUUGUGUUUUUUUAAAAAAAUAAUAAUGUGUACAGCUCAAUUUGCACACUCUACUCUAUUGUAUGUAAACUCCUCCGAAUUAAAUAAUCUUUAUUUUUGUAAGCUUUUGUAACCUUAGUAGUAGAAGAUGUAUCACGAAUAAAAAAAAUUAUUCGACGAAUAAUAACAAAAUGCCGACAACGAAUAAUAAUAUAUUGACUAUCAUCACUGCCAUAAGGUUUUAUUUUCUCUUCGUUACGGCGGUCGAGAACUUGAUGAGUUUUUGUCGAAAUUGAAAUUUAACCCUUUCUUCUCCGUCAAGGUUUCAAAAUAUAAAUUACUAUCCGACUCGCAGAUCAAUUAAAGCCGGCCGUCUCUCCACGAAAAUAAUUAUUGUCGGAGUCGACACCCCUCAUCCAGCCGACACCCGAUAUAAUUGCAUUGCAGGUAUAUGAAACAAUAACAUCAGACGUGAUAUAUUUAUUUUAUAUAAAUAAUAUCGUUGUACAGCUGACAUCGUCUGAAAAUUAAAAAAAAUAAUAAUAAUUACAACGAUAUUUUUAUACAGGCUUGUCGUCUUUUUAUUACUUUUUUUUUUUUUACUUAAUAAAAAAUGAUCUUUAUUUAUAUCGUGAACCUUCGAUUAAGUACACAUGCAGAUUUCGAUAGUAAAUUUGAUUUGCAGGUUUUUUCAGACGUCGCCUAAUAGAAUCGUUCAGCGGUUUAUUUACUAAUACAAUAUUGGUUUUUUUGAGAUUGUGCAGUGGAGCUUAUUAACGGAAUUCAGACUGCUAAAUUCACGCAAAUCCUAAUAGCGUUUCCAUCAAAUAUUAUUUGGCAAAAAAAUGUUUAGUUCACCCGGGAGAAAAACUAAAAUAUAGUAAAUUCGAAUAAAAUACUUUAAAGAAAGUAUGAGUCGUUACGUAUAGAACUAUAUAAUACCGUAUAUUCUACUAUUGUUUAUAUGGUUGUAGUAGUGAUAUAAGUUAGAAAUUUUUAAGAAGAAAUUUCCAAAAAAAUUUUUUUUCUUUUACAUUAAUUUUGAUUUAAUGAAAAGUCAAAACCGUAAAUACUAUAUCAAAUCACGAGACAUGGAUUUUUCAUUUCUUAUCAGUGACAACUGAAAACUGAAUAACCAAAAAUGUGUUUAUUGUUUAAAUCACAGACUUUCUGAAUUUCUGGUUUCUGAUAUUUCUUAGGUUGCAGAUAAUAACAUAUUAUUAAUAGUUAUGAUAAAGCAAAAAAAAAAAAAAAAGAUAGACAUUUUAGCCAUCAAACAGAUUUAAAUAAAUAAAACUCGGGAGUGCAUGGAAACCACCAAUAUCCCUAGCAUCCCCAUAAACAUACAACUAAAAUCGUUUGAGGAUUGUACUUUCGAAAUUUUACCCUAAUACCGUAUAUUCGAAAUUAUCAUAAAUAACCCCGCAGGUUCUUGAUAAUUCUAUGACCAGUAUUUCAUUCUGUAUUAGCUAGUGUAUUCGUGAAUAUCUGUUUUCCUAACGAAUUGGAAUGUGCAUUUUUUUUUCCGACGAAUACUAUUUAAUUUACGUUAAUUACAUUUUUCCCCGUCACUUGUCAACUAUAAAAUAUAAAUAAAUUGUUGAAGAUAGUUUUUUAAAAAAAAAUAAAAAAAUAAAAAAAUAAUAUAACGGAUAAAAAUAAUAAAAUAAUAUCCGUUGCAUUUUUUUUCGGGCAUAAUAAACAAUGAAAAUAAAAAAAACUAUUUUAAGUAUGUAUGUAUACAGAAUAAUUCUCAAAACUUGUAACAACUAACACCAUCAUUCGUUUCAUGUUGAUUCGAUAAACUAUUCGAAUUAUUUUUUAACAAAACAUAUUCACUUAAUAACUCAAAGCCGUAAUAUACGCACACACAAACAUCACAACCACAAUAAUAUUAUUUACCGUGGCUAUUUAGAGUUUUACAAAAUGAAUUCUCAUGUCAGUUUUUGUUUGCAUAUAGUAUUGUUGCUAGACCUGAUUAUAAUACUUCGAUUAAGCGAUUUUAAUAACUGCACGCGUUAAAUACAUUUAAUUAUAUAAUUUCAUUGGAUCGAUAAUAUUAUAUUUACAAUUAUUUAGUAUCGGUGGAUCUUUUUUUUUUUUUUUUAUAUAUUUAGUUAUAAAGUCGAAUUGUAAAACUAUACUGAUAUAUUUGUAUAAUACAGUUAUUGUUUCUGCUUCUAAUCAUAUUAAUAUGUGUGUGCAUUAAUUUUGGUCUUAUGUUAUUAGUGUGUUUAAAUAAACAUGAAACUAUACAGAUUCAGCAUAUUAAUGAUUUGACAAAAAAAAAAAAAAAAAAAUCGUAAACGUUCAUUCUGUUUGAUUACUUUGAUUUAUGUUUCGCUGGGAAUGGGAAUAGUCGAAAAUAUCGACCGAUUAAAACUUUUAUGUACAUUGUACACAUUUUAUUAUUUUUCAUAUACUUUUUUCUUCCAUUUUAGUGAAAAUGCAAGCAAUUCAUUUUAUAAAUCUGUUCCUCUUGUCUAACGAUAUAAUAAUUAUUUUAUCAUUAAUCCGAGCUAUGGGCUUUUAUAAUAAUUAAUUAUUAGUGAAACGCAAAGCUGGACAGUAACUAGUAAAAAGUUAAGGUAUCAGUUAGUUGUUUUUUUUUCUUUAAUAGCAAUUAACUUAACUAAUUCAAAAUAUAAAAUAUUAGAAAUAAAAUUAAAUAGUACAACUUAGUUAUUAUUUUAAUAAACAAUUUUAACUUAACUCGAGACUUCGGCGGUUAUUUUCCUAAUUAAUUGAGACUUCUUCGGAUAUUCCUAAAAUUCGUUCAGAUUUUAAAACUAACUUACACUCGGCUUAGUUAUUUUGCUUUUAGCGUAACUAUUUUAACUCAAGCGGGUAAAAGAUAAUAAAUAAAUAAAAAAAAACCGGUCAACCCACCCAGGUUUGGUUAAGCACACCAUUGAUCAGUUCGUACUAUAAUAUUGGUUCUUUCGACGAGUAAAGGUGUACAUUUUACCUCUGAAAAUUAUUAUUAUUGCCUCGCUAAUUAAUUACUAUCACUAUAUCUGUUAUAUAUAUAUCUGUUAUAUUAGCAGCAUGAUAAAAAUACAAUAUUCGAGAUUGUCUCGCGUACUCUUGUGUACACACGGCGGAGCGUCCCAAGACGAUUUACUAUUAUUACAAUAUAUUGUGUGCAGACGAAGCGAAUGGUGUUUACAUUGCCCUACCCCGCACAAUAGCGAAUUAUCGUUAUCGUUACACCGUGAAUAAAUUUAUUAGGAUACCUAGACGCAUACGGGGUAAGGACUAUGGGAAUUUAUUAUGAUUUCAUUUCAAAACAAUAACGUAAUAUUAUACCUUUAAUAUAUUUAAACUCGCUAUUUUGGCACGUAUAUAUGUAUUAUAUUACAAAAUAUCUUAAAGAAAAAAAAAAAAAACUAAACACAUAUACCAUCAAUUUAUAUUAAUACGGCUUAAAAAUUAAUUUUGAAGAUUAAUUUAAUUAACAUCAAUUACUGCACGACCUUUAUUGAAGAAUACCCACUAGCAGGUUUUUGAAAAUUUAUGAAAAAAAAAAACCCAUCUUCUUUUUUACAGCCGAGAGAAAAUGUCGCUGAUUGUCUGUCUAUAUAUAAUAACUGUUCUAGUAAUUAUUGUUAUUUCUUAUCUUUAUACGGAUAGUUUUUAAAAUGUAUCUCUAGGCAAUCGCGAUGUCUUGAUGCUACCGUUUUAAACACCUGUUUGUUAAAACUUACCUUCUAAAAUUUAAAAAAAAAAAAAUUAUUCCCUUAGACAGUAUUUGAGGAUACUCUACUUCAGGUAUAUAUACAUAAUGUGUAUGUUCAUACAAGUUCAAGCAUAGCUUUAUUAUUAUUCGUAAUUGCAUUCAUUGAGCCAGUUUUAAUGAUACCCACGUGCGUAUACAUUCACGCGGAAGGACGCUGACAAACAUCACUUGACACGAAUAUUUUUGACCGUAUCUACCUGGUAUAUUUCUGUCAUAUUAUAUAUAAUAUAAUAUACUUGUAGUAGAUCUCAUACUUGAAUGGUGUGCCCACGUGAAUUAUAUUCUCCUCUCGUUUAAGUGCAACACUGCACGUCUCGAUUCGAGAUAUUAUAAUUUAUAAUAAAGUGUGUGGAGAAAAAAAGAGAGACUUAAAAAUCCAUUUGACGCGUCGUAUUAUGUACACCUAUAAUAUUAUAAUACUUUCAUAAUAUUCUUUUUUUUUUGCGAUUAAAUCACACAUUGACACCUUUUAAACGUUAACACUUUCGUGCGAUUUUUUUUUUAUAUUAUGUACGCGAUAUCGAUUGUGUAUAAUAGGUAUUGUGCUGCGGCUAGUGUUUGCGGGGAUGAAAGUGACGAUGACGACAGAGUUAAUAAUAUAAUACAUUAUAAUAUAAAAUCGCAUUCUAUCCGUGUGACGUGAGUUAUCAAACCGGAAAAUAUGUCACUCUCGGGACGGGUAACUACCUGUACAUACUUACCUACAGCCCCCCGGGAACCGCCGGAAGCUUGAUUUACACAGGGGUCAAACUAUUGCACACGUGUGCACUGUAAUGUACGCGGUAAAAACUCGACUGCAGCUACAGCGCCUUUAUGUAUUGUACGUAGAGGGUCAAAAGCUUCGCGUGAUCAAUCGUUCUGAUGCGGGGGAGCUUUGCGACUUUAAAAACCCGAAAAGCCGACACGGCAUGCACAUACACACACACACACACACAUAUAUAUAUAUACAUAGACGUUGGGUACCUACGGCACAUCACGCGAGCGUAAAUUGACUUCCCGCUCCCGUUCUCCCUCCUGUUUCUCUUACCAGUCACAACUUCCGCACCCCCUCCCCCGAUCCCACUUCAUUCAUUCGUCUUUUCGGAAUUUAUAUAAAGCCGGAACCGGCGCGGCGGCGGCGGAACAAUCCAAUUAUACAACGACUGCGAUGUAGGUGUGUUGCAGGAGGAACAAUAUACGUACCACCACCUUCUUCGCCACUUCGCCCUACAAACCACCCUGUAUAUUAUAUUUUAUUUAUAUAUAAAUACGGACACGCUACCGCACUAACGCUCCCGUCUUACUCCUCGCCCUCCGGCGGCAGUGUCUUGUUCGCGCGGUACCCGGAUUUUCGGAUGUGUUCGUAUAAUACGACUUCCGGUCUCGCGAAUGGCCCGAAAUAACGACGCCCCCGGGACGGGCGGACGGCGACCUCCAGAAGGGGAGUUUCGUUACACGUUCCGAUGCAGUUGCAAGCUUAAUGUGUGGUCAGAUUUUCGAAAUUACGUCUUUUCGACGACGGAUUUACAGAUUUUUUUCUAAACCCUCUCCUCAUACCGUCAACCGACAGAAACGUUUAUAUUUACCAGAUGUUUGAUGUUUGAAAACAACGCAAAUCUUCUUGAUUUUACGAUGAUACGGUUUUUUUUUCUUUUUUUUUUUGUCUACUAAUGUCGAUCCGAUUUUCAAGUGUGUCAUCUUUUCCGAAAGUAAAUGUCAUAUAGUUGAUAUGCCGAUAAGAUCAUUUGUUGAUUAUAAUAAUGCAGUUUUCUUAACAAUUGGGAAAAAUGUCUAAUGUACACAGAGAAAGUAUUCUAUACUUAUAUUAGUCUUGUAUAGACGUGAUAAAAUGUUCAACACAUUCUAGUCAUUUCUGAGAAAUGUAUAGGCAUUUGAUAUUUUUGAGAUCUUUAGUUUUUUUUUGGAUCAAAUUGUUUUAGCCGAAAAAAAAGUGAAUGUUAUGUAUUUGCUUAUUUAUUUAUACGCUUUUUUAAGUUAAAAUCUUCAAAACACGUUUAACCUAACUUGCUCAAAAUCGUAUAUUGUUUGAAAUUAUUUUGUUUACCUAUUGGUCGAUAAGAUAUUCUGCUAUUUUAAUUUUUCUGAUAUAUUUACGCGGAUAUUGUGUAACGAAAGUUAUACAUUUUAUUCGUGUCAAGUAUGUAUACGCCUGUUUUUUAAAACAAACGCUUUAACUAACACAACAAGCAGUUUAGCGAUAUGGUUCAAAGGAUAUACUACCCUUAUCACUAAAUCAAAAACGAGACGGUCGCGACGUUUUAAUAACAUAAAUAGUUAGAUAUAAAAUAUGGCACUCGAAUACACUUUUAUAAUAGAUAUAAAAAAAAAAAAAAAAAAUCAUGGAAGUGAAACAAAGUGGUUAUAAUAUUUUCGUUAUUUAUAAAAAAAUGUUCAUAUAAACUCUCUAAAAAUAAUUACUUUCUUCUUAUUUCCGUUCCGAGAAGAAAUUAAGUCGAUAUUUAUAUUAAAAUAUUGUUUUUGAUUUACCUACCUACGUCUUAUCAAACCUUCAACCGUUAUUACAUUUUUAAUAUAUUUUCUAACGGUAAUAUUAUUAUUUUCUAUUUUGUUAUUUAACGAAUUGUUAUAACAUAACAUUUAUAAUAUUAUGCACGUAAAAAAUGGCACCAUUUUUUUCGAUAAUUUUAAAUAUUAUUUUACUGCAUCUGGCUAUUACGUUCUGUCUACGGUAGUUAUACAGUUUUAAUACCCAGCGUUGUAUUUUAUCUACUUAAAUUAUCUAGAUAUGUUUGUUUUAGAUUCUGUGUGGAACGAGGAAUCUAUUGGUUCUACAACGAUGUUUAUUAUUAUUAUACUUUUUUCUGCCGACAUUUUCUCUACCAGAAGCAUACUCUGAUCGUCAAGUAUAGCACCUCUUCUGAAAGGAAAUGUUCUCUAGGUGGUACUUUAAAGAUGUCAUUUUUUGAAAUUCUCAUUAAAAUUUGAGAUAAUGAAGAAAAUCUGGUUAUUUGGGUUGAACAGGAUCGAAAGAUUAAAAAACAAGGAUAUCAUUAGCAAUCGUUUUCAUUUAUUUUUUGUUAUUAUUAAGUAUUUAUUAUUUUAAUCUUUUUUAAACAAUUAUUGUUGUCGUGGAAACGCACAUUGUUUUAAUCAUUUUACCGUAAUAUUAUAUAUGACCAUAUAUUGUAUUGUUGACAAAGCAACAUUAUCAACUGAACUCGGCUCAGAAUCGUUUUUUUGUUAGCAAUGGUUUAUCUUUGCUUACAUAUGUACAUUAAAUUCCCGUCUGUAGCCUACCUUCCCAACUUCCCAUCUAAAACAGUGGCUUCCACGUGCGAAGUAUGUCCGUAAACUAUCCAGGAUAAAUAAUUAUUAUUUUUUUAAAUCAUAAGCAACAUAUGUAUUAUGAAAUUCCAAUUAAAACUUUUAGGUUAUAUGUUUUAUGCACUAUAAUUUAUAAUUAUUAGUGAAAGAUAUUGACUCUAUUUUAAAAUGUAAAGAUGUGCACCAUUUACGAUAUUUGGUAGAGGUAUACUUUUAUUAGCACUUGGUUUUAUGAUAAAUUGGUAAUAACAACAAGCGAGACAAUUUCUUUUUUAUUCUAGAUAUAGUGAUGGGUUGCUAAUUAUUUAUCUGUGUAUCUAUAAUAUAGAUUAUUGAAUUCUUCUCUUUUCGAUUAUCGCUUAUAUUUAUCUAUAAAAAUAAUUUAGAUUUUGAGCAUAACGAAGAAGCCGUUCGUGUAAAUAUGAAAUGUGUUUUUUUUUUCACGGGAAACGCUUUUUUAGUAAAUAAAAAUGCUCCGAUAUUUUUCAUUUCAUACUAAAAAAGCUGCAGAUAUUUUCCCUGACAGUGUACUUAAUUUGAAAAAAAAUGUUAGAUUCUCAACAAGUCUUUCAUACAAUUUAAAAAAAUCACAGCAAUUAUCCAUGAAUUGGUUUUAUAUUUUUUGAUUUCCGGGUUACCUUUGGCUACGGGAAAAAAAGCAUCAAUAUUGCUAAUAUACUACUCCGCUCAGAAUCUUUAUCUAUAUUGCAAUUAUCCAUCGUUACAUACAGGAUAUAAACUAAAUUAGCCUGUAUAAAUUCUACAUUUCCAAUUGCCCACCUAUAACAGUGGCCUGCCACAAAAUCAUCGUUUUAAAUAACUAAACUAAUACUUAUAUUAACCGGUAGGGCACAGUCAUAUAGCCCUAUGGCUAUCUCAAGAUAUAUAUAUAUUUUUUUCUAUAAUUAUUUAAUUUAAUUUAUCUACCGACGAUUCGAAAAAAAUUCUAAACUCUAACCACGUAUGUAUAAUAAGUUAACCAAUGUUUUAGGAAUAAUUUGAUAUCGCCCAACAAAUUAAUUAAUAUAAACCUAUCGAAUUACAAAAUUGCACUGUUUAUGAACAGAAUAAAAACGAGUGGUCAUACGGCCGUGGGGUGCAGACCAUAGGCGCGGGCGACUCCAUCCGUAUAGUUAAUGAGCACUAGUAUAUUAUGUUGUUGGUGAAAUUUAUUGAAAACCGUAAAAUAAGCGCGUACGGAUUGUACCGUGUAUUAACGUAAAAGCUUCACACGAUUUUACUCCAUAAUAUAUUAUUAUUAUAGAAAUGUGCAACGUUCGUGUAAUGCAAAGACCGAUGAGUUGACAUUAAUUUCUUUUUAUUUUCCGAGAACACAAAAACUUUACGGACUCUCGCGUAUAUAAAAUAUAUAUAUUAUUACGUGUGGUUUAUAUAUAUAUAUAUAUAUAUGUAUACUAUAAAUUAUUAUAUGGAUUAUAAAACGGUUAAAUUUUCGAUCAUCCAUCAUUUCAUUAAACAAGUUGUUUCCGUUUUCUCUCUCUCUCUCUAUAUAUAUAUAUAUAUAUAACAUACUAGCGGAAUUGGGAAAAAAAAAUUUACAUAUAUAUACGGUGUUAUCCGGUUAUUCACCGCGCACCUCUUUCCGUUUAAUUACUUGGAAGUUUCGAUACAGUCACGCCGCCGCGGCCACAGUAGCCCAAUUACUUGUCAAUAUUUACAACGACAGUUUAAAAACUUCGACCUUUUGUUUAGCCCCUAUUUUAUUUUAUCAACCGACGAUACGAUGUGCGACGUCGCGUUCUUUCAUUUAUGUUUCUUCGUAAACGUUCAAAAAUUUACCUAUAUAACUUUACUGUUAUACCUAUGUGCUACUAUACUAUCCGCACGAAAACUACGGUCCUCGCGUUCGUAUUUGCGGCUGAUAAUAAUUGGAAUUUGACCGGUUAUCACGUUUAUUUCUGCACGCAACGACAAAUCAAUUCUGAUUCAAAACGAUUCUGAGUGACAAUGAUAAUAUUAUUGUUUACGCGAAUUCGCGAGCCACAGCCAUCAUAUUGCCAGGUUUCGUCGAAUCGUUAUGCAAAAUAUCAAAGAUCUGUCCUCGAAAAAUUCACAUAUUCUUAAAAAAGCUAACUUAAUCGAUAUAGAAGCUAUAUUAUUUUUCUAACGCGCGUUAUUAUUAUAUUUAUACGGUUAGUCGAAAUAAUUCGAGUGAGUGAUUCACCGUUUAACCCACUUGUCGGUAGUUUUUUUUUUUUUUUUGCGGUUUUCUUUGCGUCAAACUGCUGAGAAAUUUAAAAACUAUUUAGCUACCCACUAAUAUAGCGAUACUUUACAAAAUGUUUUUCAAAAAUGUAAACAACCCGGGAAGGAUAUAACACGCAGUUGUCGACAAGUGAAACUAAAUGGGCAACGACUCUUACGUAUAGUUCCCAUACUCAGCAUAGCAAAUCUACAAUAUCACAAAAAAAAAAGACUGAUAUACUUCGCACGAUGGCUAGUUCACUAUUGUAGGUGAGACGUUGAGAAAGUAGGAUAUAGAGGACAAUUCAAUGAAUAUAUAUAUACGCAAAAAAAUAAAGAUUCCUAACAUAAAACGAUUCUGAGCGGAGUUUGGUUUUAUUCGUUUUGAAAAUCUGUAAUAUUAACGAUUUUCGUUAAAAUUUGUUAUUCAAAAUUCUUAUAAAAAAUAAUUCUACAUUAAGUUAGUUUUUUUUUUUUUACUACAGAGUACGACUUAUAAAUGCUCCUGUUAAAUUUUCAAGCAUUACUGUUUGACCUAACAAUUUUAUCCACAGAGUAGCUACCGAAUAAAAACUAUGUAAAAAACUCGUAAAAUUAAAAUUUCUAUAAAUAGCUCCAAAAUUACUCAAAUUUUGCUACGUCUAGAAAAAGCAAAUAUAAGUUUUCUUUCAAGUUUCAUAUUUUUAACUGAAUCGCAACAAAAAACAAAAUUGAAAAUAAUACAUUUCGUAAAUUGUUCCGUUUUUUCUCAGUUUUUCUUAAUUGUUUUGAAAACCGCUUGAAAAAUCAACAAAUGGCCUUCUUGAUGUACCACUUAAGUCAAAUUUAUUUUCAGAAAAGGUACUAUACUUGAAAAUCGCAGCAAGAUUUAUGGUAGAAAAGAUGUUUACAGUCUAAAAAUAAAUAGACAUCAUUGUAAAAACAAGACAUUCCUCGCUUAGCUCAGUAUCUACAAUAACAACAUCAAAACAUAUUAUUAUUGUUGGACGUAAUGACGAUUGUAUUACAAGAACCUAUUUUAAAUGCUGGACAAAGAUAGUUUUCAUUGCCGGACGGGACCGCGGGCUGCACAUCGAUCGCCGGUGUACGGUAUGUCGUAUAGGUAAUAAUUAGCUCGGCAGAGAAGACAAUAAUGCAAUGUAUAAUAAAAUAUAAGGAGAACAAAGAGAAAAAAAAAGAACGCUACCGGACACAAUGACGUAGGAAUGUGUUUUGAAUAAUUCGGUAGCGGGCGGUGAUGGCGUUCGAAUGCAUAGAAGACCAAUAUAUUAUAAUUUUUUUUUUUCUACUUCACUCCGAAGGCUGCAAUUUAAUUAUAUGAUAUGUCUUGCACAUGCAUCGGAUCCGAGUUAUAAACGAUGGACAUAAUAUCAUUUCUAUAUUGAUAUAGUUUGUAGACUGUAGACACGUAAUAAUCAUGUUUUUCCGUCGGAAAAAAAAGAUCUUUUAAAAGGAAAAACGGCUGGUACUGCAAUUGGUGGAAAGUUGGAACGGUGGAUAUUAAGGAUUAAUUUAAUUUAUCUGUACACAAAAAAUAAACCAUUGUUAACGAAAAAUGGUUCUGAGCAGAAUAUUAUUCAUUUGCCAAUAGGUAUCCCAGAAAUCAAUAAAAACUUUACACUAAAAAUGCCAGUUUUUCAUAUCAAGGAAACUAUGUAGAAUUUCAAAAAAUUACUUCUUUAACGCAUCCCUUAAUUAAUAUAUUCUACAAAAACGUUCUUAUACAUUUUUAACACAUUUUUAACAAGAGGAAUAAAAGAAUAAACACAUCAUAGUAAAACCAAUACAUUUCUCGCUCCGCUCAGAAUCUAAUUAUUAUGCUAAAAUAGUAAAAUUAUAAAUUAUAGAACAAAAAAUACGUGAAAAAAAAGAUUUUCGUGUUGUGAUAUCAUAAUUUGUUUUAGUAAACAAGAUUUCUUUGAAAUUUCAAUUUAUUUAAAUGUUCAUAAUAAAAAUAAAAAAUAAACCAUGCCUUUUUAAACAUCUAUACCGUCUUAAAUUAUUAAUUUAGGAUCGAUCGGUUUUUUUUUUUUCACUAUACAGUUUCCCGUCAUUUUCCCAAAUCUGCUGUCUAUUAAAUUAUCAAUCACGAGUUUACUGAUCUUCUUCGAUUUAAUUAUAUUAACAUAAUUUGCCAACAAUACAUUAUGAAAAUAUGUUAGAAAUUUAAUUGCAUCCGUUAUAAUAAAAUAAUUUUGAAGCAACAGUUUAUAUUAUUAAUAAAUGGUAAUUAUUACUAUUAUAUAUAUAUAAUUUUUUUCUUUUUGAGAUUUUGAGCGCAGCGAUAAAUGUAUUGGUUUUGCUGUUGUCUUUCAAACCACUAAAUUUGUUUCUAGUUGAUGUAAUGAGAUGAUCAUUUUUUGAUUUUUCUUGUAAUUUUCUUAACUGAAUUUCCGAAGAAACCCGAUUAAAUCGCUUAAAAAUUUAAUACUAAGUUCAUCAUAAGUAGAACUCGGAUGUUUAUGGCUACAUAUUUUUUCAGCGAAGUCAGAAUUAUACCCGAAUAUGAUAUAAAUUCGAUUCAUGAAAUCUAGAUUUCAAAUAUUCAAACUUAUUUUACAUAUAUUGAUUAUUCCUAGAUUUAGAAGCAUAUUUUAAACAAUUUUAAAUAUUAUAUUAUAAAUCUUUACGGUAACUAUUAACCACGCAAAGUAUUUGAUCUAUGCAACAUUUAAAUGUUUUAAUUAUUUUAUUAUUUUAUUUUUAAUCAUUUAUAUUUUUUAUAUUAACCUAUUUUUUUUUUGUAAAACUGUUUAUUAAAAUUUUUAAUAAAUUGAUAUAUUUAAUGCAUGCACGAUUAAAGGUGUAUACAAUUUAUUUUAAAUUAAUAUUAAAAUAUUGUUUCGCAUAUAUUUGAUGAAAAACUGGUACGUAUAUUUGAUACAUUAUUCUGUUGAAAAUAAAUAAUAAGGAAUAAUUGCAUAUUUUGAAAUUUUUAAAUGCAUAUUUUAAAGAAAAAUAUUAACAUUCGAGUUUUAAUCAUAAGUAUUUUUUUGUAAUCAAUUUUGUGUCAAUGAAUCGUGUAGUUUCGUCGUUCAUCGAUCGGAUUUUGAUCCUUUGUCGUCGUCACAGCAAUUGAAUAAUGUCACCAUUAACGGUGGUGAUCGAUUAGUCGAAUAAUAUAUACGCGUAUACAUACAAAAUGUUGUUGGCAGCUGACAAUCGUUGGGCGGCCGACAGGGUAGACGGUGUUGGGGAGAAUCUAGAGGGGAGGUGAACGGCUGACGAGAGAGAGAGCCAAAAGCAGAGGGCCAGAGUAUCGGGAGCUCUGGAGAGAGACCCAAAAGAGAGAGAGAGCUACGAAUACAUAAAAGCGUCGUCGAGAUGAUUCGACGGCAACGCCCGGAGGAUUACAUCUGGUCCGGAGGUUUCAUAUGGAGUAUAGAAUAUUAUUAUUAUAAUAAAUCCAUUGACGAGUGAUGAUGAGGCGACUGUGUGAAUCUCGUAAUGUCGUAUUAUAUACAGGGCGGUCCGGUAGUAAAUAAUAAACAGACCGGAACCGGUCCCGUAUACGUAUUCUUCGAACGUCGACUUUGCAAUUAAUAAGUUGAAAUGAAAGAAAACAAAGUUAAAACUGUUCAAACAAUGUGACUUGUAGUAAGUGAUCGUGCUUUUGUUUUGCCAAAAUUAUCCAUACGCUUUAUAGCCUCGAUAUUUAUUCUCCUCUUUUGACAUUUUGUUAUCUGCAGUAAUGUUUUAAUUCUGAUUAUAAUUAUUUCAAUCUAAACUCCGCAAUUUAUUUAAAAAAUAAUUCUAAAUAUACCGUAAUUUCGCUAUAUUUCCGCCGUCGUUAUACUCGUUAUUUUUUUUUUUAAAAAAAAGACAUUCCUACGAUGACGGUCUUAAUAAUUUUUCCGCCUUUAUUACUGAAUCAUUCGUUUUAAUUAAAAUGAAUGUUUAUUUAAAAUAAAUUUGUAUUCAUAUUUUAAUAUUUCAGGGAGAAAAUUAUUAAUAUUUUUUCAAAAAAAAAAACAAAAACCAACUGGUUAACUUAAUAUGGUAUUAUAAUUUAUUUAUUUUUCGCUGCUGCUGCUACAAAAAAAAAAUUAAACCAUAUAAUCAUUCAGUACAGUUUACUUUAUAUGUGCUUUAUAUCUGAAAAACUGGAAGCACUUUCUUUAGCUUUCCAAUGGGUAUAGAACUUUAAUCUUCAAUCCAUAUAACUACUUUGAAAAUUGUAUGUUUCUAAUUCCAAUGGUUUGAUCUGUGCGUUAAUUCUCUAUCAGUCAGUCGGAAGUUAAGAACAAAGCUACUUAACUAUCUCUGUUUCUCUAUUGUAUAUUUAUAUAAAAAGUGAGGGAGAGAGAAAAUAAAUAAUAUAAUAUAUGGUACAUAAGCAGUUGUCCGUCCGUCCGUCCAUUAAGUUGAUUUACCAUAACAAUCAAAUAUAUGACGGACAAUGGACAUAUUUAUUUACCAUGGAAACCAAAUGUAAAAUCCACUAUAGCCCGUCAAAUACACUAUAAUUACGAUAUUAAUUCACUAGGAGCGCCAACGAAAAUAAUAUGUGAAGAGCAGUGGCCAUUUUUUCAUAGCUUUCAUUUGUGUGAUUAUCACAAACCGCCAGCGAAUGUCUAUAGAUUAUUUAAACACGGAUGGGUAAUAUAUAUGGAAUUCAUAAUAAUAACACAUUAAAAAAAAAAAAAGAUACAAAAUUUACUUCAAACCGUCUCCAAUUAGCGGUUAUCUUCGUCGGUUUACUUCAAAAGAAUCAGCCUGUACAUAUGAUACGGGCACUGUGACGACCGGACCAGACAAAUCCCGCACUACCUGCGUCCAGCAGAGUUAAUUAAAUCGGCCUGAACGGUGGCGAGUGAUCCUAUGUAUAUAUAUUACAGAUCUAUAUUAUUACUGUGGCUUCGGCCUUUGUUAAAAGUCGCGUACAAUAACGAGUCCCGAAGGUUAUAUAAUAUACUGCCAGACGGCAGACACAAUCCGAGUAAUGGAUAAGUUGUAUAUCCUCCAGUAUCCAUAACAAUAAUAGUAUAAUAAUAGUGUUUUCUAUAUAAAGUACACUGCUGCACAAAGAAACCCAUUCCCCCCCCCACACCCGUUCAAUGAGACUGCACCGAUCGGCACUAUCACUCGUGGAAUGAAAAAUGAUUUAUUUUUAUCUAUUUUUUUUUUCUUGCUUUUACGUAAUCUCCUCGGAAUUCUUCUAUUCGAAACGAUGCGACGUCAACGUACACUUUGAAGCAGUGAAGAAAACACAAAGCAGUGUGGGUAUCGAUCAGUCCGAAUAAGUGUUAACGCAUCAUACGAUACCAUGUCGGAUACUGCCUGAUGGAAAUUUCCUUAGAACCAGUAUUAGGUACAACAAACUGGAAAAUGAGCAAAACAAAUCUUAAAUGAUAUUGUUAAAAUACUGUAAAAAUGAAUUAACCAUGUUCAAGGCCGUAGCUAAACAAAAUUUUCUGGAGGAGUUUUAAAUUAUUAUAUUUGAUGAAAAUAAUGAACAAUACUUUUGGAAAAAAUCAAAACCACCACAUGAACAACAAUAAUUUAGCAGGUUUUUUUCAGGGGUGAGGGAAAUAUCAAAGGAUUGAUAAAAUAUUAGGGUUCUCUUUUUUCGGUGUUCAAAUAUAUUUUUACUAUAAUUAAUAAUAAAUCCGUUUCACGUGAAUUUCAAUUAAAUGCAAUAUUAAAUAUUUGAUUUUACAUAUAAUAUUUGCAUAUUUCACAAUUAUUUCUAUUUGAUGUGAACAGGUGUGCAUUUUUUUAGUUGGCAAGUUGGAAAGGUUACAUAGAAGUAUUUAAUUUCUAUAAAUUUAAUAUUAAAUAAAAAAUUAUAUGGGGACGAAUAAACCUUACAUAAUUUACCAAUAGGGUGUUACUAGCUGUUUCCUAUGGUAUUUUUGCCGUGAUUGAUCCCAAUUAUUCCCGUCAUUCCAGUACCUCUAUGGAUCAUAGACAUCGAAAUCCAUUUGAAAUUUUAAAAAAAAAACAUAAUGCACAUGGCAGUUCGGAUGUUACUAAGACAAUUCCUUUUAUUUUUCUUUCGUGACUUGUAAAGGAUCUUAAUCUCUAAACGGUUAGUUUAAAAUAAUUGUUGGGUUAUUGAUUUCAUCAAAAGGUCCGGGUUAUACGAGAGUUGUAAUACCCACAGGAAAUUUUAAUUUUUUUUUUUUGAAACUUGAGAUAUUCGUUAAAACCUAUCGUUUUCUAUAUAUUAUUAUUUUGUACGGAAUAUAAUUAUUAUUUAGCGUAUUGUCACUCACGACGAUGAAAAGCGAAAAUGAUUGUUUCAAUUCCCAUUCGUGACAUGUUUUUUAAAAAACAUAUUUAUUAUACUAUCGUUGCACAGAGCACGUAUUAUUCACAGUAAAAAUACCAAUGGGAGAAAAAAUUACGUCGCCAGACUUGCGUGGAUUUUUCUCUUCUCGUCCCGCCCUACGUGCAUAUAUGUGUAUAUACAUUUUUUUUUUUUUUUGUAUUGUAUGUAUAAUAUAGCGCGAUAUAUUUUCAGUUAUUUAGUAUUUUUAUUGUAUAAUAUAUUGUUUAAGCGCGAUGAUGAAAACAAAAAAAAUAGUGUAAUAAAUUAAAAAACGAAUAUAACAACAAUAAAUUACGAGGAAAAAAAUAAAAUUACAUUGAAUCAAUAUGUACCCCGCCGAUUCUUCGGUAUAUAUAUAUAUAUAGGUAUAGGACUACUAUAUAUAGGUGUACCGAGCGAUAAACCGUGGCGGAUGGGUGACCGAAGGGAGGGGCCGUUAGGGGAGGAAACCGGAGGUUGGCUGAGCCCCCGUAAAUUACGGGUGGCGCGGACGACAGUGUGUAGGCUGCUGGCAAUCAAUCUCGGCGAAAUAAUCGGUUCUGUCUGUAAGGUAAUUGAAGUAAGCCGCGAGACGGAGAGAGCGGAAGCGGCGGAGCGAUAGGAAAAAAUUACCGAGUUUUUCCGUUUUGACGCGAAAACCCGCGGAGACGCGGGUUCGAUUUAUUUCGGUGCAUAAUUCUUGAAAAUAAAAACACUGCGCCGCAACCGUCAAUUUUAUAGCGCGGCCGAAGACCAUAAAUUGUGUGUCGUGCGGAAAAGAAAAUAAGGGUAGGUAGGUAUAUGGCUAGGUAUAGGUACCUACCUGUAAAUAAAUCACAUAUUUUUUAUACCGCGGGACGUUUUAAAAAUAUAGGUAAAAUAAAAUAGGUAUAUUUUUCGAUAAUUUCUAGUAGUUUCAAUUUUCCGCUAACCGUCACGCCGCGUCGGGUAUCUAUAAUAACGUUAUAAAUAUCUAACGUACACCGUAUAUUUUUUUUAAAUUUUAAACCGCAAACUUGAGAGUGGACCGUUUUCGCAUAUUUUAUCUUUUAAUCACAUUGUUUAUUCGGAUAAAAACGAUACAAAUACAAAAGCGUCUCGGGCGCCAAAGCUUUUACAAAUCUUUCGAUAAUUUACAGUUCAAAUGCAUUAUGUAAGUUUGGUAGAGUCGAGGAUAUGCUGUUUGUCGCUACCAUUUCUUUGCCAUUCCUUCUUGACCUGUUCCGCGUAAUCAUUGGUUACGUUUUAGUUUUCCUGAUUCACUAGCACGUUUGAAACGAUUAAUUCUGCAGGUAAUAUACUUGCGCAAUACUAUACUCCACGGUGCACGUAAUCUUCAGCUAUUGAUCAUAGAAAAGGAAGGAAGAUUUGUUCCGCAUCAUCAUGCUCAUGUCCACAACCAAUAAUAAUACAUCGUAGAUGAUCCGCUUUCUUAAACCAAUGCAACUAUGCAGGGAAACACCCGGAAAUUAAAGUUGUUUUAUAAAUGGGUUGAAGUGAUAAAGUUUGGGUUAAAUUCAAACAUGAAUUUAAUUGUAGCUUUACUGGAAGACAGUGUUUUUUAGCAUAUAUAAGAAUUUGUCUAACGGGGAUUUCGACUUUCAAGCCCCCCCCCCCACCCCACCCAUAGCAUUUGUAUGCUCAAUUUUUUUCAUUAUUUAUUUUUUUGUAAGUAGUAUAAUAUAGCAAAAAAUACUGAAUAAUAUGAUCAUUAGGUACAAUCAUCGACAUUUUGGUGACAUUUUUCAUAAGCGAGAUUGUAUUAGUGACUGCCUAAUCAUGUCCCUUAAAAGUAUACACAAACAAUCAGUAUUUAUAAUAUUAAUAUUGAAUGUACAAUAUAACUGUUUGUAUUAAAAAUAUUUCUUCUUGUGCAACGACAACUUGACACCACAUAAACUUUACAAUUUACCAUGGUAAAAAAUGAAAAAGUUUAAUUAUUUUAAAACUGUAAUAAAUGUGGGUGUUUUAUAAUAAUAUGGAUUGAAUCAAUAUAAUCUAUAACACUUAUGUUAUUCUACUUCAUCCCAAAAAAUAUAUUGCUCAGUUUUUAUGUAAUUUGAUUCCAUUAUUAUUUUAGGCACCUACGCAUUUGCCUUUUGGGAAACUUUAAAUAUCGGUCGGAGUUAUUGUUGCCCCUCACUUAAAAAUGUGUAGGCAAUAUUGUAUAUAAUUAAGGGAGACGGCACGCCGUUGUGAAUGUCUCCACCUAAAAUGCAUUGAGUGCUCUGCAUUUUCAUACACAGUAUUUGAGUACAGAAUUGUAUUAUUGUACAAUAGUAUUUGGUUAUCAAUAUUGUUUUGCAAACAAUAUUUCUGUAAUAUAAAACAAACUGGCGGGGGAUAGUUCGAAUCUAAUAGAAUAGGAGCUCUGCUGCUGGUGGGCCGUAUUUUAUUUUUUUAAAGGCAAAGUGUUCGGGAAUAAUUAUCAAUCCCGGCUUUUCGCAAGCUCAAUGUUGUAUAUGCAUUCGAUUAGGCGUAUUAUACGUUCCUACAUGAUGGAGAAUAAUGUCUUACAUCGUUGCAGCGUUUCUACAGCCUACUGCGACACUUGCGGAUUAUUCCAUUAACGGGUAUAAUAUUAUGAGGGAAAUACGUAAAUUACACCGCUCGGUAUCGAAUUUGAAAAUAAUUCUCAUCGGAUCUAGGCAUAUUAUGUAGAGCGUUUGAAUUUCCAUUACCAGUCCGCGUCGGCGGCUUCUCUCUAUAUAAUAAUAAUAUCAUACGCGGAUAAUUAUACAUCGGGAUAUUAUGCAUUGAUAGCGAUUCGCCGCGCGUUUUAAACCACACAGGAGAGAAUUUGAACAGAUUCGGUUGCGGUUAAUUCGAUGCUUACGGAUCGAUUAGGGGAUAUUAUAGUUUUAGUUGUGUACCCGUCAUUCGUGACGCGUUAUAACCAUCAUUGAAAUGUUUAAAAAAUGACUGGUCGUGAUAAAUCUAAGGACUGCAAACGAUAACGGCGAAAUCUUUUUUUACACACUAAAAAAUUAAAUCAAAUCAAACGUUUUAACCAGACACGGGUUGUAAUCCGGAUAAAGUAUUCGGAAUGUUUUAUAUAACAAUUUUUUCGAGAGUUUUUAAUAUUGUAUUAUGAAUAGAUUAAAAAGUAUUUCAUUCCUUAGAAAAAAAAAAAAAAAUUAUUUUUAUUUAUCUCGUUUUAGACUUUAUUGUUUUACUAUAAGAUGUGUGAUUUUAUUUUUUUCGGAAAACAUACUUUUUCGAGUUAAUAAAAAUAAUCCAAUUUUUUCAUACGUUACUCAAAAAGACUUGAAAUUUCCACUGGCUGGUUUGAACUCACUUGAUUAAAAAUAUUUUUUAAAACGUUCAACAGUUCGCCCCUUUUUGACCUAGACGCUUUAUUUUUAGGUUUUUCGUCGGAAAGCACUUAUUUUCAACAUUUAUACCCGCUAGAACAACACUUAGAUCUAACACUAAUAAGUCGGUGCAUAUUCUGUAUUUUAAUUAAAAUUUUAACUUAAAGCGCUCAUAAAGAAAUUACUACGUUAAACUUUUUCCCCCCACUAAUUAUAACUUAUCCAAACAAUAUUUUAACCACGUAAAACUAAAUAAAAACUUAAACAUCUCGAACAUUUCAAAUAGAAAUAACCGAAAAAUUUCAGUACAAAAACUGUAAGUCGACAUAUCGAUGGGCUGAAAAAUAUAAAUGAUAUAAAAUCGUCAAACUAUUUGAUAUAAGUUGACUGUAAUAACCGAUAAAUUCUUGAUUUUUAUUUAUAAUUUCGGAAACUGGGUGCACUAUGACACAAAGAUUUAAUUAUUAAAAAAAAAUGUAUGUGGGACGUUGGUACAUAUGUGUACAUAUUUUUGAUUGAAAAAAUGUUAUACCCGCAUGCGUUUUCUGUCAUUCUAAUGUACGGAAUAACAAACGUUACUAUUAGAACAUAAUUUGUGGCGCUUAUAUUGGAAUUGGAGUUUUAUUACAAAUAACACAAUUUAGAGAAAAUUAAAUAUAUUUAAAUACUGCAAAAAUUAACAUAGAAGAAACUAUUUUUUGUUCAACAACUUUUUAGAAAAAAAAUAUACGUAUACAGCCCUAACAACUAAUCGCAUCUUUAAAUUUUGUAAUUUGUGUUUAAAUUUCAAUUUAAACCUAUAUAUUAAAGUAAUACAGAAAGAUCUGGCACUAAUGUUAUUCGAAUUCUAAUAACUCUGUCAAUAUUCAUUUUUUUCCAUCGGGUUUUGUGUCACACAAAUACAAAGACAAAUUCAAUUUGUCUCUAAAUUAUUGAAAAACAUUUUUUUUUUAUUUUUUUACUUUAAGAUUUGCCAAAAAGCUAAUUUGUAAUAUAUAUUACUCUAAAACUGGCAAUGUAAACAUUCAUAUUUGAUCAAUAAUAUAUUAACAAAAGCCGCUUUAAUAUCUGGAAAAAGGUGUGAAAAACAAGGCUACCACAUUACGCUACGCGAAUCAUAGUCGUAAAUCGUAAUAUAAGAUAAUAAAUCUGUUAAAAUAUAAGAUUUUUUACAAUAAGUGAGUUUUAAUUAGAAAUUGAAACGGCUAUGAUUUAAAAACUAUUAAUCGGAUAUGAAUGGAUAUAAUUCAGUCACAUUUUUAGAAUAAUAUAUUUUACAAAAUGGUUAUUUUGAAAAUUUAAAAAAAGUGAAAAAAAUAUGUAUAAAAAUAUUUUUUUUUUCAGUGAAUAAGGGAUGAAAAUAAAAAUUUAGUUUUUCGCUACAUGUGUGUGCCCAAAAUCCGAUUGGAAAAAAAAUUAAAAAAAAAAAAAAAAAAUGAAUACUAAGCAUAUGUAUAACAUUACCGCGCGUAUAAGAGUAUAUUAUGCUAUUAAUCGAAAACAGUGAGCAUUAAAUGCAGUAUGUCAGUGUAUAAUAAUAUUGUCAAUCGCGAUGGUUAUAUUCACGAAUAUUCGCGAAAAUUGGCUUUUCGAAUCAUUUCGUUGAGACAAUUGAUUUUUAAACGCUAUUAUCUUUAAUAAUACGUACGACGCUGUGACGGUUAAUAAACGCAUUAUCCGCCCGUGUGGACGUCGAGUGAAAUUAUUAACGGACGGUAUAUUAAUUGGAUGGGAAUUAUAUCGAAUAUGACGGAUAUAUUAAGGCGUAUUAAUUAUAUAAUACUAUUCAGCUGUAACGUCUUUAAUGAAAUUUAUUGACCAUAUCGCGGUUUUCUGUUGUACCUGUAUUAUAUUGAUUUAUUAAUCGCUAUAACAAUUAAUCAAUUAAUUGUUUUCGGAAAUUAUUCCGAACGGUGGUUCUGAAUUCUAAUUGUAGACAUUCGUCAUUAUAGAUAUUACCGGGCGGGACCGUCCCAUCUCUCCAAAAAAUAACCGUAUAUUUAGUUCGAAUUACUUUUCGGGCUAAAAAAAAAAAACGGACAUACUUUGCACUUGGGUACAGUCGCUAUUAUAAGUGAAAAGUUGAAUAGGCAUGAAACAAAAGCGAAUUUAAUGUACAUGUGUAAGCAACGACAAACCAAUGCUAACGAUUCUGAGCGGAGUUCAGUUGAUAGUGAUGAUUAAGUAUAGAAUAAGGAAAUAUAAAAUAAAGAUUUAUAGUGGAAAGAAUGUAUUGAAAUCGGAAUUUAUUUUACUUUAAUGUGGCUCGGUUUAUAGUAUUGCUUUUUCAACAAUGUGCGUUUCCAUGACAACAAUGAUUGUUUAAAAGAGAUUAAAAUAAUAAAAACUUAAUAAUAACAAAAAAAUAACAAUAAAAACGGUUGUCAAUGACAACCCUAUUUUUAAUCUUUCAAUCUAAAGAAUCAGGUUUUUCUCAUUAUCUCGAAUAUAAAUGAAAAUUUCAAAAAAUGACCUCUCUAUAGUACCAUCUAGAGGAUAUUUCCUUUCAGAAAUGUUAUUAUAUACUUGAUAAUCGGAGUAAACUUUCUGGUAGAAAAAGGGUCCAGAUAAAAAAAAAAUAAACAUCAUUGUAAAACUAAUACAUUCCUUGCUCCCCUUAGGAUCUAAAAAAAAAUAUAUAAAAAUAAAAUAUCCUAAUAAAUUUUUUCGGGUACCAACUGUCUUAACUGAUGCAUAUUAAUAAAAAUUAUCCUUAAAGAAUUUCGCCAAAAUUCUGCUAAAUAAAAAUUAAUUAAUUGACAAAAAACAAUAAAUAUUACGUUUAACUUUUUAUUUCUGAUUAAUAUCCAGUUUUUGGUUUAAAUAUAAAAUUUAUAUUUACACUUAAAAAUGUCCAGAAGAAUGUUUUUGGCCAGACUUAAAAAGAAUUAAAAAAUCGACAAGUCAUAUAAGUUGUUAAUAUAUAAUAUAAUAUUAUUCUACUUCUAAGAAAAAAAAAAAAAACGACCUUACGAACUCAACACAAACAAACCGCUACCUCGAAACUCGUUUGUAGCCGAGAGUGAUGUUCUCCAAUAGCUCGUAUACCGAAUCGCGAGUGUAUUACUAUUCGGGAAAUAUCCGGGAUUAAUUAUCCUUAACAUUGUAAUCCUGAAAAUAUAUCCGACAGUGCGAUAAUAUAUCGCAUCCUUUAUCUGCGACUAGCUGCCAGAUUAAACGACGCGUAGGUUUAAUAUAUUGCUAUAUAAAAUCCAUUCGAUUUGCGUUAUUUUGGACUUUUCGUUGUUAUUAUUAUUAUUAGUAUUAUAGUACGUACCCGACUCGAUCCAAUAAUACCGUAACGUCGAUUGUAUUUUAAUGUCUAAACUGUUUUUUUCUGGUUUUUGCAAUAUACCCUACGAGUUAUAAAUAAAAGUUUUUCUUCUUUUUUUAAAUUUCGAGUGCAAUUAAAAGAUUGAAUUAUAGAAACGUGCAUCUUUUAGAUGUUAUGCAACUUGGUAUACUAUUUUGGUUUUUGUCAAUUUUCAAACAUUACAAUAAUAUAUUCAGUCGGACAAUAAUAAAUAAUUCCCAACCUAACCUAACCGAGUAUAAUAAUAUUUUAUAAGGUUAAUUGUUAUUAAUACACGUACUAUCGGUGAAACAACAUUAAUUAGCUAAUUAAUAAUACUUAUCGAAAACGAGUAAAUGGAAAAUUCACUAUUAAUAAUUGUCAAAUAUUUUAUUUUGACUAUGUUAUACUUAUACUCACUUGAUUGAAAAUAGUUAAUAUUUUGUCAAAGUUACCAUCAACAAUACAAAAAAAACGACCGUGGUAUAUAAAUGUAAAACUUUAAAUAUCGUAAACAACAUGUUUAGACAUGGGAACGUAAGUAGAUACAAUUGGCUGGUACCUACCUACAUUUUCGACAUAUUCAAAAUAAAUUCUUCUCGGUCGGUCGCGUACCAGAACAUGGUCGAAUCUUUGGAAAAUUUAACCGCGUCUAUAAAAUAUUACGUAAUAACUAUUGUAAUAAAUAAUAAUUAUAUCAUGUGAACACUUCAAGUAUCUCGCGCAUACCUAUGCCUACUUAAAUACAAUUUCUUGAAAUUCCAACGAAACAGAAUUCGUUAAAAUAUCGCGCGUACAAACUUUACCGGGUUUUUGCAUACUUUUGCGAUGUAGUUCGAAUACCAACAAAAAUCACCUCUUGUAAAGAAAAUAACGUUUCCCGAGCAUAUUAUUAUUUUGUAUACUGUACUCUCAAUAGUAGAGUUUUACGACGGAAAACCUACAUAUAAAUAAAAUAUCAUUGUUAACGAAAAUCAAUUUUUUAUAAAAUUAUGAACUUAAUAUGGUUAUGGAAUAAUAUUAAUUGCUAAAUAGUCACACCUGACUUUUCGCCGUAUAGUACAAUUAAUUAUGCACCUAGUGAUAAAUUUAACAAAUCAAUUUUGUCUGCUUAUUAAAAUCAAAUUUAAACUAAAAACCUCGACAGUUUAUAAUGGCUAUAAAUAGUUUAAAAAUCACAAAAAUAUUCUGAAAAUUUUUCCACGGCUUGAAAGUUCUAAUAUAAGUAUUCCGUUAUUUCAGGUCUUCCUGUUUAUUUUUAACCAAAUUACAUACAAAAAAAAACAACACAAACGCAAUAUUGUGAACCCCCCCCCCUCCCGAAUCAUAAAACUAUUCCUGUAGUAUACCAACAGCAGUUUUUCGGAAUGAGAUGGAAAAAACAGUUAUAUAGGGUUUCCCUUUUUUUUUUUUUAUGUGAAAUAGAUUUAGUUCGAAAAAAAAUUAGCGUACUGUUCACGUAAAACCCGUUAUCGAGGUUGUACGGGCCAAAUCGUUCAAUUAUCGACUGUAUAUAUUAUACGUAUGUAUAUAUAUUGGACGGCGGGUUGAGAAGGUGCAAGGAUAGGCGGUAGACGAAAAACGCAUUACGCGUUCGCCGAGUUUACCUGUAUAACAAAUUGACGGGAAGAUUGGGGAAAAAGGUACACCGACACUGUUAUAUGAAUACGAGAGGAGCCGUCGUGCGAUCUGUUAGCUGUCGAAUAACCGGUGGCGGGCGUUAAAUUUGAGAAAAAAUAAAUAAAUAGAAAUAACCGUCGGAGGGAAAUCGGUCGAGCCGAGGGAAGGAAGAGGGGAGAAAAAAAGACACGGGAAAUUAUUCAAACGUGCCGCGGCGAUCGACUCGUAUAGUGAAAACGGCGUCAUAUACUAUACGUGCUAGGAAAUCCGGGGGGGGGGUUAUAUUAUUAUACCAAGUAAUUGUACCGCCGAAACGUGACUAACCUAUGGCGAUUUUUCAUUGGUAGACAUUCAUUUGUUAGAAAAACUAUUUAUUUUUCUUCGGAAAAUCAUAUAUACUGCACGGACAGGCGCCAGACGGCCAGACAGGAAAAGUUGAUUUAUAAACGAAUUAUUAUUUUAUCGCGUAUACACAAUACCGAAGUAGAUAAGUGUGUAGGUGAGUAUCCUAACCUGCGUGGCGAGAAAAAUAAUUAUUUACAAAAAUGAUUAACCGCGGUCUGGGGACGUAUAAAAUAAUUUUAGUUAAUGGUGUUAUUAUAUUAUUUGUAUUAUUAAUUAUACUAGUUAGCGUGCGAUUGUUUGAAAGUUUAGUCGGGAACUUCGAGAAGGCGGGAUAUUGGGAAUUGCGCCAGCCAUCAGCGGUUUAAAAAGUACAGGACAACGAAUACAAAUGACUUGGUCACGUCGUGCGCAGAAAUGUGGGAGAUGUGUGAUGUGUGGCAGACGGCUAGAGUGGUGUUGGCCAGAAUGGAAAUCUACUGGGAAGAGACCUCGUGUGGACGAUCUAAAAAAAGAUGGUCGGAUGUCAGAAUGUCUCGAGGAUGGUAGGAGUACAGAAUAAGUGAAUAACGUUAGUUCAAGUCAGAAAAAUGUGUUAAGAUAUCGUGAUGGCGGUGAGAACUCUUAAUGAUUACUAAAUGCCAGCGGAGAAAAAAAGACUGAACUAACCCAACACGGUUUUGCCCGCGAUGAAUCUUUUAUCGUUUUUGGUAUAAUUAUGUUGUUCAUGUACGUUACACACUGAAACGACUACGACGUAGUAUUCGAAUAGUUUUAGAACAUAUUAGCAGGGUGCUACAAAUUUAAGUUAAAUACUUGUGUAAAUGCAAAGGGGUAAAUCACUAUAACUACAUAAAAAUAACUUCUUAUUUUUCACUAAAAGUUAAACUUAUAUAAUUUUCUUCUAUGGGUAAAAUAUAUAUAGUUUUUUAUUUUUAUGUACCUUUCACUUUUUAUCUUUUUACUAACUAUUAAGAAAAUUAUUAUUUUUUUAUCUUUUAUAUACCUAAGAUUAGUAGUUGUCGAAAUUUGCGCCUAAAUAAUAUAAAAACUAUAAAUAAAAGAUAUUUUUUUUCUAGAUUAGAUUUUCGUUCUAACCAUUACUGAUGAAUUAAUAUACCUCACAUAAAACAAUAUGUAUUCUAGUCCCCCGCUUUUCAGAAUCUUUUAUCGCUUCACAAUACGUCAAUCGGACUGAUUGAACGAAAAUUGGUCUAAAUUGUUGAUAUGCUAUGUGCCUGCAUAAUAUAUUCAUCUAAAGGGAGGAGGCUAAUUUUGAAAAUGCAUAUAAAGUAAACAUUUAUGACGAGCUCAAUAAUGAAUCAAGCUAAGAGUAUAUUGGAGAGUUAAGAUAAACGAAUAUUUCUUAGGUUCACAAAUAUUCGCAUUACUUAUUUUAUCAAAUCAGUAUGUUAUACCUACACACAUAACAUAAAACGAUAAACAAAUCGUGUAUUCGUAUCGAUAUCAAUCGUAAAAAAAAAAAAAUAAAAAAAAUAUAUAUUUACAUUCUGUGGCGUAUAAAAGUAUAUUAUGGAGAUGUAUCUACCUUGACUUUUUUGUUUUUUAAUAACUUUUAUUUUUUUAAAUUAAAAUUUCUUUAAUUUUCGGUCAGAAAACCCAAAAAUGCGCUAGCACCUAAUUAAUUAAAACCUGAAUAUAUCUAUAUGUAUAUUUUCUUGUUUAACACGAAAUUUAUCCGCACCACUAUAAUACGAUGGAGGAAGUUUAGAUCAGUACGUGAAUAGUAAUAAUUUUAGGGUAGUAUCAGAACGUGGUCACUUACAAAAAUGUAUAAAUGAAAAACGGUCUUUCCACAUUCAAUAAUAUCUUCGUCCAUCAAAUCAUCAAAUUUGCCACUGUAUAGUAUAUAUAUAUAUAUAUAUAUAUACAGGUAGGACUUAAAUCGCAUUGUAAAACUGUUGGAUAUCUAUUUUUUUGUUUUCUCUAAAAAUACGUUAUGCGGCGUAGUCGUAUUUUAAAUUUAACGAUCGACGUUUACGUAAAAUAUCAGUGACUUAUCCGUAUAAUGUUAUAACGAUAAAAAAAAAAAAAAAAUAACAACAAUAGUAAUAAUAAUAAUAGUAAUAAUAAUAGAACCCGUCAAGGAGGUUUAUUAUUAUUAUUCGUCUACGGUAAUAUUUUUGCGACGAAAUUGCCUACGCUUUGCCCCUUAAAUCGCCCGCACGCGCUCGUCGGAAAUGGGAUUUUUCGCGGCAAAACGUUAUAAUAACUCGUAAUAUUAUUAUAAAAUAUAGCUAUAUAAUAUUAUAGGUACACGCGCGCGAGCACUAAGCAUUAAAUUUCGCAAACUAUAUUAUAACAUUUAGCUCGUCGCGUUAAAUUGUAGUAAUUUGCGUACUUUUUUUUUAUAUAUAUGUAUAUACAUACUUUUAGUUUUUUUAAAAUUAGAAACGAUUUAUUUAAAAUAUUGCAGUACCCGUCUAUACGUCUUACCCAUCUACCCCGCUAUACCGGGAGAUAAUAAUAUUCUCGGCCGUAAACCGAAUUUGUUAUUAAUAAUUUAACGGGCGCCCGAGCAAUUGAACGGUUCGCUGCUCACCCCUCCGGUUGAUUAAAUUUCUUCCAAAUUGCGCUCUUACGCUCCGGCGAAAUACCACGUGUACGACGGUGUAACCGAUUUUGACGACGUACAAAAACAUAUAUCUAUAUAAAUAUAUACACACAUACAUACAUAUAUAUAUAUAUAUAAUAAUAAUAAUUAUAUUAUAUACGACGUUGUAAAAAUUAUAAGUUACGGAUCUUAAAUUUGUAUUUUUUCAUCUACACGCGAUUACUUACGUAGCUACUUGAUAUAUUAUACAUACCUCUCACAUUUUAUUUUAGCGAUCGGGUUUCGCUUUAUGUAGAAGUUUACGCUUAAAUAUACCUAUAUAAUGUAAUCGUGUACAGCCCGAAAAGUUCUCGGUAAAAUCCGUUUUAUUAUUAAGAUAAUUGUAGUGAAUAAGAUAAGUAGUGCAUAAUAAGUUAUUCACUACUUGUCACUUUAUAUUAAUAGAUUCGGAUAGAAAAAAAAAAAUAAUUAUAACGGUAACAAAUAAAUAAAACUCAACCCCCCUCCCAAAAAGAAAAAAAAACAAUUUAUAUACCUACGAGUAGUAUACUUAAUAAUAACGGUAUAAUCGUCGACUUUUUUCGACGACUUUAAAGCUUAAUUAGUUUAUUUUUGUUUAUGUUUCAUAUACGAAUUUGUUAUAUUAUUAUACCUGUAAAAUUUCGAAAUCGAUUUGACCUUGUGGUGAGAGGGAGGGUUACGUGAAAUCGAAUUCCCGGAUUUAAAGUUUAUUUUACUCGGAAACGGUUAGGUUACAAUUAGAGCUGCCUGUUUCAUGUGUACAUAUUUUAGCGUAUUUGCAUUAAAUUGACAUUCGAAUCUAUAAAACCACGUACACAAGUAAUUAUACACGUGUUUUGUAUUUUUUUUAUUUUUUUUUUGUAUUUUCACUACGUAUUCACAUUAAAACACAUGAACAUGUAUAGUAAAUCCACGUGUAUUUUUAAUAUUAUGUAAGUACACAUAUUUCAUUAAUUUGUACACUGACGCCGUUUUCACGUACUUAUUAUUUCACUUUUUCGAUCAAAAUUUCCAGUUAAAAUCAGUUUCUAAAAAGAGUAAAUAGUUUUGAAUUGGUCCAAAUUCUAAUUUCAUAUAGACGUCCAUAGUUUAGUUUUCAUCGGGAAAUUGUUUUAUCGAAUACCGAAUACCCACUGUGUGUUUUCUUCGGUUACACCGCCUCCCGCCAGUGAGAAUAUUCCCUACGUAAAAUAUAGAAUUUUUCUCCGUUUGGAGAAAGAAAAUCUCCUUAAAAUAAAGGCUAGUCUUUUGACCGACGCAACAUGGACGAGAACGACGGCGGAUUCAAUGUGAAACAUUAAUAUAACCCGAAAAAUAUUUUAUUAUCUACGUAGAGGUACCUAUAAACUCAUUACUAUAAGGACGCGAAUUACAUAAAAUAAUAAAGAACAAUAUUCGAUUUAAUAUAAAAGGAAGAUUUUAUAACGACAUAAUUGUUUUCGGGCAGAGAAAGGAAUUAUACGGAGGAACCAAGAUUAAAGACAACAUUUUGUUGGAGAAAAAAGUCGUUUUACUAUAGCUGCUACAUAUUAUAUAUAUAUAUAUACACAUAGAGUUGCAUUUAAUCGUUUUAAUCCCAAUUCCCAAAGCCAUUUUAAGAGUAUAAUAUUUUAUAUAAAUCCCUUGGAAAAACAUAAUAUAUAAAUAAUCGUGUACAUAAUAUUCGUUGGUUCAACUAAAGUAUAUAUUUCUAUAUUUAUAUUAUUAUAUAUACGAGAAAAAUUGCCAAAGUCAUUAAACGCCACGUAUAAUAUCUUCGGUUUAUCCUUUUUUGCUCGUUUAAGUAUAUAACGAGUAUAAUGUAAUAUUUUUAUUUACGAGAACUUGGCGGUUAUGGACUAGUUUUCUAUAUAAUAUUAUGUACACGACUAAGUUUAAAAAGUUUUACUAACAAGCCGAUAAAUAUCAUUAUUUUUUCGUGUAUAAUAUUGUAGAAAAAAAAAAAAAAACUAUAUUACAAACGGAAUAAAUAUUAUUGUACAACGAAAAGCUAAUUCUAACUUUGUGGACUACAAUAUAAUACAAUAAUAUAAAUUAGACGUACAUUUAAAAAACAUUUUUUUUUUUUUUUUUUUUUUUAAAGCGUUAUCAUACCACUCUCGAAAAUAUUCCGUUCUUUGAAUGUUGUGAUUUUAAUAAUUUUCACUGGAAUGCCACAAUAAAAUUUAUAUUCUAAGUAACGUGAUUUUGCUAUUUAAAUCUAAAUUCAACUGUAGUUAGCGCUGAUGUCGUUUGAUGUCAUGACGUUUAUUUUAUCUUUUACGCCCCUUCGUCAAAUCCAGACCUAGCCCCUUUACUUUGGUUCAAUUAACUGCCCCAAGGGUGUAUACUCAUCGAAUUUAGAUCUUUAUCUCGCCUGUUAAUAAUUAUAGAUCCUGCAGAGUGCGGGGACAUGCAGUAUCGGGUUUAGACUCAUAUUCUUGUUAUCAUCUAACCAAAAUAUUCAUUUUUUUGGUUUUAACUCUAACGUUAUUACGUCGAUGGACAAUAAUACGAGUGUAUAUUAUUAUUAUUUGUUAAACGCUAACCGAUUCCCCCGGUUCCGGCAGUCGCGUUCACUAGAUAUCCGCAAGAAAACGGUCACCAAGGGUGGGCGCCGAGUGGAAAGGGGAAGCUACGGGAAUUAAAACAGUGAAUAAAGACACGGGGCUAACGGCCGUGGUUGAGGGUAGGGGGUUACUUUUGUUCCAGAGCAAGAGUAGUGAGAAAUGAUUCGACGGGCGUGUGGCUGUCAGUUCGCGGGCCACCGAAUCAUUAAUAAAAUCUCUCUCCGCCCUGUCUCGCUCCGUUGUAUACAGAUAUAAUAAUAUAUUUCAGCUCCUCUCUGUUCGCCUACGCAUUUGCGGUUCCCGUUCUGUCGAAUUUAUUCCAUGGGUGAGAGGUGGGAGGGGCGGGACGCGCUCGCAAAAACACAACAAAUUUCACGGCUGCGAUAUCCCCGGACGUGGCGCACAACCCUUCCGCUCGGCCUUUCGAUUGCGUAGAAAUACGCGUACAUAUUAUAAUAUUGUAUUGUACGCAUAUAAGCGAUUGUUAUAAUAUUACAUGUGUUUCUUUUCGGAGAUGAUUUCGAGUAUGUAAGUUUGAUUUUGAGAAUUGUUUAUUAUGUUUUUUUAUGUUAUUAUAGUUUUUUUUUAAUCGUUAGAAGUUCAAAUUUUAUAAAAAUCAUAAAUAUUACUUUAUUUAAAGAUUUAAACAACCACUGUUGAAUCCAGACUAUUUGUCUAGGGGGGGGGGUAUUAUUAAAAAUUAUAGUAGGAAAUUACUUUUUUUUUCUUUUUCUACCCUCUAAGUCAAAUUGUUUUUAUUAUUUAAGAACAAAAUUCGCCCUCUCCCCCUCCCCCCGUCAUAUACCUGGAUUCAAAACGGUGUAUAAUCGAAAUUCGUUCAGCCUCGUAUUUCAAUAACAUCUAUUUAUCUUUCCAUACAGAAAUAAACUUAAUAAUUUAAUGUAUCCUACCUUUCCAACUUUCCUCUUACGACAGUGGCACACCUAUCUGCAAUAUCAGCUCUUUUUUUCUUCAAUUUGUUUGCAAGACAAUCAUUUUUUUUGAUUCCGUAUAAUAUGAUAGAGUCUGACGUUAUAAUAAAUACGUAAUAUUAUUAUUGUCAACACGCUUUAUUUUACAUGAUUUUUAAACAUUUUAAAUGUUUUUGAAUAUCAUAUUCGAAAAGAGAUCAUUUUUUACGAUAAAUUAAUAUCAUAUUACCAAUAAAUUAUCGUAGAGUGGCCAAAAAAAGGAAAACAAGCAUUACGAGUACAAUAAUAAAAUAUACUUUCCACGAGAAAAAUUUCAUCUUUUCGGAUGAGUGUUUAAAAUUGAUUACGUUAUUAGCACAUAAUUUUAAAAAUUUCACAAUUAAACGUCAAGUGGAGGGGAAGUAAAUUUACUCGAAAUCUCCGUAUAAUCUCCGAAUAUUCUUAUAUGUAUAGGCAAUUAUUAUUAUCUCGCGAUCAAAGAAUCACCCUGUGUACUGUAGAUAUUUUAUACUCGUACACACACACGCACAUACACGUGACACGGGGUAGUACUCCUUCCCCUUGCUCCUUCCGCACCUGGUCACACAUAUCAUCCCGUUGCCGUCUCACGGUGUGGUCUCUCGCUCUCUCUGUCCCCCCCCCUCUCUCUCUUUAUACUACGCAGCGGUGGCCUCGGGUGCCACCGGAAAAAGCUCCCCGACCUAAUGAAUAAAUCCAUCUAUAGUUUCGAAUCAAUCUCUGUCAACCCCCGGGCCCCGAUGACGUUCAUUGUUGGAAAAUGUAAAAGGCACAAUGUGACUAUAAUAUAUAUUUCGACGGGCAUACACACAUAUUAUUAUUAUUAUUAUUAUUAUUAUAUUAUACACGCCCAAUAGCGUCGCCACCGUCGACACCUCCCCGCGAACCUCCCCAUGUCAAAUCGUCAAACUACCGCCGCCGCCGCCACCCCUUUACCCCGCAUCGGUUUUCCGACACUAAUAAUAAUUACGCGUUGAUUACGUCGUCGUCGUUGUGAUGUAUGACUACGUAUAUACGCAUAUGAAGGGACACGAAGUCUCGUAUAACCAUAUUUCGAAAUUAGACGCGCUUUGAUCGUCGACGACGCGAUAUUAUUAUUAUUAUUAUUAUUAUUGUAUAUGUUUGUUAUUGCGUCAACACGAAAUAACGUUUGCCUUUCCCGCUGAUCCGCUGAUAAGACGGGCGGUGAAAGCCAAAGAAGGCGAUCCCGCUCCGGGACACACCGCGCACCUUCUCACCAUAAUAAUGUACACUUACAUACAUCCUGUAUCCUAUAUACUGAAUACCUACACGUAUUAUAUAGUAUGUACAGUUUUCCUCGAGCUUUUCGCGGUUACGCUUACAUGCACGUAGAUGCUGUUUUACAUAAAUCCACCCUUAGACUCCAUCCGUAUCCCCUCACCCCAAAAACAGCGAUUUUCGAUCGCUUAUAAUAUAAUAACGUGCGAAUCAAGCGAAUCUUCGCCCACGUGAAAAUCGGCCGUCAAAUGUGUAUCGUAGUUUGUUACAGUAAUCAUAUAAUAAUACGUUGAUAUUGUAUAUGGGGGUAGGUAGAUAAUAUUAUCUCGUACAUGCAUAUUUUGCGAAAUAACCACGGUUUUCAAAAAUGUCAUUCCCUGUAUAAUAUACUUUGAAAGAAAUCGCGAACAAAUAAAUUGGCACGAAUAAUUUUUUAAAAUUGAUCGUCGAUUCAGUGGUAUUGACGUAAGAGGUACAAAAACCGAAUAGGUGAGUUUUAAAAAAACAAUUUUAUUUUUUUAACAGGAGGCCGCGGAUUCUACCGUGGUCCAUCAUCAACUUCAGGGAUGUUUUUCGGUACCUAGAUAUUUUUUUCUGUACUACGCAUUUAUAUAUCUCGCGUCUUUAUAUUUAUAUUAACUAUAAUAAAAUGCAUAUGGCAAUCACACGAUAAUAAUAAGAUGGAUAAAUUACAGUGCCACCAACAGAUCUGUAAUAAAAUGUCCCAAAAAAUACACGAGUAUGCAUGAUGUAAAAUUUUAAAAAUAUAUGAUUUACACCCUUUUUUAAAAACACCGACUAUUUACGUAUAGAUCUCACGAUACGAUUGACCUCGAAUUAUGCUUGUACAUACUUACGCGUAUUAUAUUCCUAUAUAAUAUUGUAUAUAAAUUAUUGAUUCAAUAGUGUUUGUAAUCAAGUAUUUGACUAAUUCCGUUUGUUUAUUAUAUAUUAUUAUGUUUCAGGUGAGUGAAAAUGUGUUUCUUUUAAUAUAAUGUAUUAUAUUAAGUAUCAAUGCUGUCAAUAUGCAUUAUAUGAAAAAAAAAAAUUUUUGGAAAAUAAUAAUCGUAAGUUAACAAUAAUUGUAUUUAAAUGUAUUUUAAUAAUUUUAAGAAGUGCGUCUAAAAUGAAAAUAAAAGUAGAAUACUAUUAUAAAAUAUCUAAAUACUAAAUUAUUUAGUACUAUUUGUACAAAUUACAUUUACUUAUAAAAUCUAUCCAUACAAACACAAUAAUAAACUAAUUAUAUUGGUAAAUAAUAAAAUCAAUUUUUUUUUUUUGUGUCUGUGAGGUAAUCUAAAAAGAAAAAUACAAUUUCUUAUUUUAAAUUUCACCGACCAGAUUCACGUGACUCCUUUUGGCGUGAAUUUCCGAAAAUCCCUUUUUAUUGCACGUAAUAUAAUUUAUAUAAGGUGCUUCAGUGCAAAAUGUCAAGUUUCUAUUAGACCCAAUCGUUCUUGAGAUACAGCGACGAGUCAGUCAUUCGGCGAAUGAAUGGAAUUUGGCUUUUAUAUUAUAUAUAACUAUAUACCUGUAUAGAUUUCUGAGUUUCCCUAACAGUUAUAUGGGGAAAACAACCUACUUUAAAUUAUUAUACCCUGAACCCGAGGCUUUUAUAUUUUUCGACUGUAUAUUUCAAGUAGUGUGAUAUUAUAUAGAGAUCGGAAUGUGCGGUAAAACUCACGUUUCCCAUUUGCACGAGUAUUUUCGAUUUAUUUCGAAAACGUGCAUUUUAAUACCCGUUAUAGCCUUUAGGUGCCUUUACCCAACUAUAUAUAUAUAUCGCACCAAUAGAAUUUUUAUUACGUUUUUACCCGCCGCCACUUCCAACUAGUCGACUGUGUAAGUGUUAUUUUAUAUUAUAAUCGUCGCAUAUUAUACGUACCACCGGUUUUGCUACUAUAAUCGAUCGCGUUUUCCGAAGACGAUCAAAUACCCUUCCCCCCGAAAUGUUUUUGAAUCGUGGUCACCGUGGACGUUUUCACCUUAGCGUUACGUUAAUUAUUAUCGAUGUAGCCUAAACGGCUCCCACACAUUUGACAACACUGAUUCCGUAAUGGUAUCACUGUCUAUGUUGGUAACACUACAGUGUUAUAAACCUGAAACCUAUCGUUCAAAUUAUUCAGUCAGUAUUAGUCUUAUACGUACUAAAUAAUAUCGACUGAAAUACAACAAAUACAAAGUUAAAUUUAUUAAUUCAAUUUACCUGCUUUAGUUUCAACUGAAUUUAUAACAGGUGUGUUUUUUCUUUGUAUAAUAUUUCAAUACUGGUUUUACUCAGGUACAGGUUGUGUGAUAUUAACUUGAUAUUCAGUAUUAAUUGUAUGAGGUUUUAAAUUAUUUAUUGUAAUAUGUAUUCAUUAUUUUCAUGUAAAAUUAAAAAUACCAAUACACUUUUAACCACACUUCUUACAAGGAAGUCUUAAAUCUGCAUAAAGUAGAAAGGCAUUUGUAUUUGGUUAGUAUAGGAGUCGUUUAAAAAAAAAAAGGUGGACGGGAGCCAAUUAAUUCGAGGCCCAUGAAAUCGUGUCAUAUACUUUUAUAUUGUAAUAAUGAUAGGUAUAUUAUAGGAGUUAAAAUUUAUCCCUUUCUUCGAGGAAGGUGAAUCAACACGCAUACGAAUCCUGUGUGGGCGUGUUUAUGUUUUCCUCGAGCUUUUCGCGAUUAUAAUACUUGAACUGUGAUAUUAUUUUAUACGCUAUAUACAUAAUAAUAUAAUAUACAUUGUUGGUCUCCUCCAAUCGUAUAUACUAUAAGAACAACACAAAUGCGUCGAACCGAUAACAACCUCAAAUACCGUAUAUCUAUUAUAAUACAGGUACUUAAAACGUGUAAAUCGGUUGUCACAUUUUUAUUAUAGUAAUCUAACUUUACAUGUACAUGCACGCAAAUACGAAAUACCUAAAUAAUCUAAAUAAUACAAACGUAGGUAUAGCUGUGUUAUUAUACAAUGUGGUCUAAUACCCCUCCCCCUCCGACAAAUCAACCAAUUUAUGUGGCACCAAUUUUCGGUGAUAUUGAAUGGGUAAAAGUCGAGACGGUAGAACAGAAAAUAAUUUAAUUUAUAUCGAUAUUCCGUUUCUAAUCGAUACACGAUUCUGAGCCAAGUUUCAUUAAAAUACAUAUUUUCAAAUGCUGCGAGUUUUACGAUUUUUAUAAAAAUAUGUGAGCUUUAAACGCUUAUAAAAAUACAAAAAUUAUAAUACCAUUACCCACGACUUUAUUUUUUACCACUAAGUGCAACUUAUCAUGAUCCAUGCGAUUUUAAUUAUCAAGCAUUUUUAAUGGGCAAAAACAUUUUUAUUCACAUGAAACCCAUUAAAAACUAAACUAAACUAAAUUUAAAACGGCUAUUUCCCGGUUUUUUGACGUUAUUACCGGAUUUUUCCUCGUUAUUAAAAUAAAAAAGCUUAACAAAAUAAUUUCCUAAUGCACCAACUUGACAAAAUUUGUUUCAAAAAAUAUCUCUUGUAGUGUUUUGAUUGAAUAACAGACUAAAAACAAUAUCAUAGCAAAAUCAUUUAUUUCAUUUUUGCAAGAUAGUUUCGAUAUUAUCCCACGUUUAUAAAAUAUCAAUAUGCUAACGGUAUAAUACGGUGAGGAUUCUCACGACUGUUUUUCUGAUUGAAGAAAUAUCGAUUUUAAUUGUGAAGGGGAAUUAUAAACGCCCUCCUCCCUCCCGGUGAGCAUUUUCGAUUUUGAUUUGGAAAAACGGGCUGAUAGAAUUUUCAUUACGUAUCGUACAGACGGUGUAUAAGUAGCUAUUAUUAUUAUUUUGUAGUCUUCAAUUUUGAAUAUAAUCAGUCGGAUUAAAUAUUGCCCCGUUGAAACGUAUCGUUCCGUGUUCCAAAUACGAAACGAUCGACGACUUUCGCUCGUCCCUUUCGAAAAACGGCACGGCGCGAGUGUAUUUGUAUGUGUGUGUGUGCGUGCUUUUUUUUUUUUUAGCUUUUCGCGGUUGCUCGCGAGGUAUUAUAAUAAUAUAUUUUGUAUUAUUAUUGUGAUAUUGUUCCAAUAACGUAUAUUUAAUCCGAAUAAAGUACACACCGAUAACGCGAUGAGUGCGGCUAUAUUUACCUAAACAGUGUGUAUCGACUCGAGCACACAUCACUUUCCGUGUAAACCGAUCGACGAAUUUUUAUUGUUAUAUUAUUAACAUAAUAAUAUUAUAAUACAAUGAAAAUAAUAAUGACGAUGAUAGUAAUAUCAUCAUAACGUAUACAAACCGAAAAAUAUUUUUAUUUUCUUUUCAACCGACGAAUAUCUGUGUUAGAGUGCUGGAAUCCGGUCGCGUAUAUCCAUCACAAUACUUAUAUUUUUAUCACUAUAGAUAUUAGGUUUUCAAAACUGGACAUAAACAAUAAAGUUAACAAAUCAGAAGUUAUAAGUUACUUUAUUGUUUUUUUUGUAUAACUUUUAACUUACUAGUUUAAAAAAAUAAAAGAGAUGUUAAAAAAUAACUGAUAAAACAAAAUUAAAAAUAAAGUUAACUUCACAUGGUUAUAUUUUGUCAAAAUUGAAAUUAUUUCUAAAAAUUUAUUCACGAGCUUCCGUAUAAAAACUGUGUAGGUACCUAAGUUUUUUUGUACUUUGUAUUUUGAAUACAAUGAUACAAUUUUACAUGAAUUUAUUACUAUCAUUUUAUGUACAGACAGGCAUAUGGCUUCCGCCACGAGUGUUGUGUAGUGAGUCUAUAAAAAUACAAAUUUUAGAGUAAAAACCGCGUUUAUAAAUGUCCACUUGUCUUCAAUCGUUUUGGCUUGCUGAAAUUCGCCACGCUUCUCUUUCGUAACUCAAUUCCUUUAACUUUUUGUUCACUAAUCUUAUUCGUGUCUAUCAUGAUUUGUUUUAUGUACUCCGUCCUUGAAGUUCUUCUUCUUUCUAUAUGACCUUCUGCAUCACCUUCUAAGUCGCAGACUAUAAACUAUAAUAGGGCUAUCCUAUUAUUGCUAGCCUAACAUAAUCUAACCUAUCCUAUCAUUUUAUCACUUCUGACUUUCAUACUAUACCAAUGUUCUCAGUAUUUCUUUAUUCUAUUCGGUACUAGUUAGUUAUUCGGUACCGCUCUAGUUUUUUUUUCUCUUCAUUACCCAUUGUCUAAGUUUUUUAGUCAUAUAAAGGCAUAUUCCAUACAUCCAGGGUAAUUUUAAAAAAAAAGUUAUUUUAACUUAACCUUAAUUAUUAUUAUUUUACUGAAAAUGUGUAACUUAGCUUAGUUCCUCAAACUCAUUUAUAUUUCAAUACCAAUUUUAAUUUAGCUUAAAUAUUUUUCAAUAUUUUCUAUUUUUUAGAUUUCCAGUGUAAUGAAGAAGCUGUAUAAUUGUUACCGAGAAAUGUUUUUAUUUUCUCAAAAAAUACUUUUUAGAUUAGUAAAAAUUCUCCAUUUUUUCAUGCCCUGCCUUAUCAAAAGAUCGAAUUUUCAGACAAAUGGAAUAUACUUUAUUGGAAUAUAUUUUUAAAAUUUCCAAAAUAUAAGUUUUUAUGUACUUUUUUGUCUACCAUGAAUUUAUAAAACACAAUAUACUGCAUAGUUUUAUAGUUAAAUAAUUUUAAAGACGAUGUAUUAUAUCGAAUUUAUCUUUCUGAAAUCCCCUGAAAUAAAUUGCGCAGGACGAAAUACAAUCAGAUAUAUCAAAACGGUAGGUACACAUGUGUCGUAAAAUUGUAUUUUGUAUUUUGCCGAACUAUUGUUUCGUAAAUUAUUCAAUGGCACAAAAAAAAAAAAUAACGAGGUUUUCCGAUUUUCUUUUCAUGCGGUUCGCGUAUACCUACCUAUACAAUAUGUAAUGUAGUUGAAUUGCCAAAAAGGUUAGGCUUAUACGCACGAAUCACGUCAAUAAAAUGCCCGCAGUCUUUCAAUUCUGCGGGGGUCUUACGCACGCAAACUCACAUUAAUCCAUUAAUAUUUUAUCCGUAUACACCGAAAAAGAAUGAAAUAAUUUCGCUGACUGGCAAAAUCGAUUCCGUCCGUUUUUUUCUCCCUUUGCGCGGCGCGGUACACAUCAAAUAAUUAUAUGGGGCAGAAUUUGUCCGCUCAACCGUUUUUUUCGCAUUCAAAGGGGAUUUUUUUUCCUUCCGCGCGUGCAUAUUCAGUUCGUUAGACUCGGAAUUUUUUUUCAGACUAAAACCUGCCAAACUCAAACACCAUAAAUAAUUGCUAAAAGAGGGACGAGGGUAUUUUUUUUUCGUGUGUUGCGUAGUUAUGCGUGACAAUUAUUUUGGAUUUUAAAUAUACAUAUUAUAUGAGUAGGUAGGUGUAUACGAAAAAAUACAAAGUUUUAGUCUUAUAUUGUAAUAAUGCGGCCGCCGUGCUACAUUUAAUAUUUUUCAUAGAAAAUUAUGAUGCGCGUUAAACACUGCGCGGUGGACUUGCCAAUUUCCUGGCGAGAGGGAGAAAUUCGUUAAAACGUCGGCGCGCGGUAAAUGAAAAUCUUCCAGGGGGAGAUUUCUCUAAUAAUAAACGUUGACUUUUGAAGGAAAUUGGUCAGGUGCUGUACAGGAACCGAGGGUUAAGAAAAGGCGCGUAUUCUCGAUUACCGGUACAAAAACAAGGGUUAUAAUUUGAACAAUUUAAGGCAGCGGAGCACGUUUUCAAUUAUAGACUUUAUUAUCGCCUUUGCUUACGAAAUCCUUGUCAGUGUUUAAGAAUCUGAGGACAUCCGUGAACUGCGUACCACCCUCACCUUAUUAAUAAACCGCAGUGGAACGCAUAAAAAUCGAAUUUCCAAAAAAAUCUAUAGAAUGAUUAUUUUAUUGUUGAACACUCGUUAUUUCAAAAAGUAUAGAUCCUACCCAACUUAAACUUGGAACAUCUUGGCAAAGGGUCGACGGAAAUAAAAAAUUUAAACAUAUAAAUGCAUUUAAACUAAUACUCCAUCAAUCUUCGGAUUUUUCAAUAUAGAUUAAAAUCAAAAGUAGGUGAUCGUUUCAUCCCCAAAACUAAGGGUUUUAAAAAUAAUAGCAAUAUAACGUUUAGCAGCUGUUUGUUUCUUAAAUUGUCAAAUCAAAUUUUUUUUUGGAAUAAUGAGUUUUCACGGUAAAAGAAACACCCAGUAUAUAUAUAUGAACAAAUAUUGUCGUGGUCUAGAUACCAAAUUGAAUUAUACGAACAAGAAAAAGGAGGGAAAUACAUUUGUAAAAUAGAAAAAUAACAUUUCAAUGCGAUUAUUUUGGAUCUCCAAAACUAUAUUAUAUUAUAUAUGACUGUAAAAACUUUUUAAUAAUAUGAUCAAUACGGAACGAAAAACGUCGAUUGUUGUUAAAAUCGCUCGUUUCUAAUGCGAGUUGAAUUAUUAUUAUUUCGCCAUACAGCGCGCGCAAACGGUAUUUAAUUAUUUUAUAAUCUUCGUUUCGUGUGGACGAUGCGAUGGGAACCAAUAAUUUUAUUAUAUAGACGCGUUCUCACGCAAAACUAUUUUAUUAAUAAUAAUUAUACUAUAAUUAUAUAUAUGUAUACGUCUCGUAUACGAUAUGAACUUCAAACUAAAACUCGACUGAAAUAUAAUUAACAUUUAUAUCCGAACAUUAGUCUUUAACGAAUUAACGGACAUUUAAAACGCAUUAAAACUCGUAUUAAACUAAAUAGUAUUUGUUAACACCGAAAUUAUUAUUAAAAGUGAGCUCAUAUAGAGAAUAUUAAAGUUUUUAAUAUUCGAACAAUGGUUCGAUUAGUGAUGGGCCUUGGGAAUAUUCCCAAAAUAAAUAUAUAAAAGGGAAUUUAUCGGGAAUAUCCUCACCAUAUAUUUGUCUUCCCUAAAUCGGGAAUUUUUUUUUCUUUCCAUCGGUCGUCCACACGAUUAAUAGAAGUUACUUUCAAUAUGUUUAAAUUAAUUAUUUAGUUUUCAAAGAGUUUUAAAGGAGUACAUGUAUUUGUUUUUUUUUUCAACAAUAAAACAGCUUAUUAAAACCUAUUAAAAAAGUAUUGCUGCUGUUAGAUAUUAAACCAAGUAAAGGAUCUGUCUAGGUUACAGUACAAACAUAGGUUUUUCUCCUAAAAAACUAAAUUAAAUGUUUUUUCAGAUAUUUUUAUUUCAUUACUUGAAGUUUGUUGGUACUAUCAUAACAUUAAUCAUAAAAUAAGGAUAAUGAUAGUUUGUUUGUAUUUGAUUAGCAAUAAUUUAAUUUUGACUUACCGAAUAGAAUUUAUAGGAAAAAUUUCUGUUGUUUGAAAAUUUAUUAUAAAUUCCGGAAAUAUUCCCUCAUUUUAAAAUACCGGGAAAUUAUCCAUCGCUGUAAAUUCGAUUAUAAUAUUUAUUAUGUUCUUAUUGGUUUUAAUUCGUCAAAGUUCGUUAAAUUUUUAAAGAUUAUGAGUUAUAUUUAUAUUAAUAUAAUUAAUUGUGUGCUUAGGAAUUUUCUACGUACGAUAAGCUACAAUAAUAUUGUGAGUCUUAUGCAGAUUUGUAUCUUAAAUUUGUAUGCAAACAUAUUAUGUACGGACUUACGUAAAUCGAACAGAAGGAAAAAAAAAGAAGGAGAUUUUCGCUUCCUUUCAUAAACGGGAACUCUUUCCCGUCCCUCAUUCUUUUGGUUCAAAAAUACCUCGUUCCAGUUUUCGUUCUUAACACUGGAUAUAAUCCGCAUUAACCUUCGUGCCUGCGCACGCCACUAUAAUAACAUUAUAUAGACACGCGUCUCGUUCCGAAAUCAAAGAAAUUAUUUGAAAGGCCAUACAUAUCUUAUAAAUGCAAAUCCGAAUGCUACUGAAAUCAAGAGUGUCGGUAUCAAAAUCAACGAGACAAUAAUUAUGUGUGUAUAAAUGUUAUUUUAAUAUACCGUUCGCGUAUAUAUAAAUGUAUAAUAUUACAUUACAUAAAACUUAUCCGUGUCGCGUGAAGGAGCUUUCAUAAAUUUACACGGUCGCUCGGAGGCGCCGCCGUCAUCGUUGGAAAUUACAGCAGCUUUUGAAAUCAAAAAUUACCCCCCCCCCUACCUCUCCUGCCUUGUAUAUUACGAUAGGUACGUACACUCUUCAGCCGACUCGAAAAUCCAAUCAGUGCGAGAUUCGGUGUAUAGUGGCAGGUGCGUCCCGAAAGUUUCAUCGCGUACGUACAUACAUGUAUAUGUAUAAUAUAGAAAACGACUUUCGACAAGCACGCACACGCUGUAUAGUUGUUGUAUAAUAGGUACGUAAUAUCAUAUAAAAUACAACGUCGUUUCAAUUAAUACGAUGUCUCGUGUGUCUCAUUAAAUAUCGUGUAUAGUAUAAAAUAAUAUAAUAUAUAUAGGUGUAGCGCACGUAUAAUAAUACCUACUCGUAUUAUGACGCCGCGCGCCGCCGCCUUCUACUGAUUGAAUUGAAAACGACAAGGGUCGGGGGAUGAAAUUAAAAAAAAAAAAAAAAAAAAAAAACCAAACGAACGCCGUUGUUUGAGCCAACCGACCGUGAACCGAUUAAGAAUAACGCAGGUACCCCUGUAUAUAUAAUAAUAUUAUAAUCUAGAUCAUUAUGAGGAAUCGGUAGAGUAAAACCGGGUCGUGAACUCGACUUGUGUGCUCGAGUAGAAAAAAAAUAAAUAAGAAUCAUAAUGAUAUUUUAUAAAAUAGAUUAAUUUUGUUCGUCAUUUCGACAGAACCUAUGUAAAUAUUAUAAAUUACAUAUAGUUACAAAGUUAGAAAAACGAGCGUAACUUUCGAGUUAAUUAUACUUGUUUACCGUUGGUUAAUAUUGCAAGCCUGGGAAAUUUAAUGAAUGAGUCAAAAGUUAAUAGCUUUAUCAGUUCACUAAGUUAACUCGCACUAGUUUGAAAAUCUAAUCGACUUUGUAACUUUGGUAAGUUUAUUAUUAUUGUUUCUUUUUUACUUUUAAUUUUAUUUUUAUUUUCGAAAUAAGGAGAACAAUUAAACAUGGAGUUUGUCAUUUUUAUUUUUAAAAAAAGGAUGAUCAAUGUUAAACACUAGGGGAUUAUUCCAAUAAUAUCAAAUUAUUCCUACUCAUUUUACUAACCAUUAAAUAUCUUAGAAAAUCAGUUAUCUGCUUGUUUAGAAAAUAGGAGUUAUGAUUUUAAUUGUUUUAAAUUAACUCGUGAAAAUAAUAUUAAGUAUCAAAGCAUUCACUUUGAUGAGGAUAGGAAAUGGAAAUCACAAAUCAAUCUAAAUAUAAAAAUAAAAAAUAUUGAGAAAGCAAUUCUAUACAUUUAAAGAAUUAAAUAUCAUUUUAGAUCUUUUUAGUUUGCGUAGAGUUUAUUUUUCUCUGGUACAGUCUGUCUUAUCCUACGGUAUAUCCGUAGGAUAAGACGGUAUAUUUUUUGGGGAUCAGCAUACCUAGCCACUGUGGAGCAACUAAACAUUACGCAUAGAGUGUUAAUAAGAAUUACAUUAAAAAGUUAUGACAGAAUGAAUAUUUCACAAAUGUCUGAUAUUCUAUGAACAUUUAUUAUAAACAACUUUUUGAAUACACUUUAUUAAUCUAAUUACAUUCUAAUUUGGGUCCCAGGUAAAUGAGUGCUUAUGAAUUAUUCCUAAUGGAAGAAGGGAGAAGUGUUUUAGGCUUCCCAAACGUAAUUCUUUGGUUUAUCAAAAAUAUUAUCAAUACAAAGCUAUAGCAAUGUUUAAUAAUUUACCAAAUUAUAUUAGGAUAGUAAAUGAUAAGAUGUUGUUUAAAAAAACUAUAAAAAAAUGUAUGCUCGUGGGAGAUAAUCUUAAUAUCAAUAAUGGAUACUUUUGUUCGUGUUCAUUAUUAUUUAAAUACUAUCCUGUGUUUAUUUAUUUUUGUUUUAUAUUGUUGUAAUCAUUUUCACUUUCAUAAAUUGUAUAAAUGUACAAUUACUUGUGUAAUUAACAUCUGAUAUCUACCCCUCUCAUCACAAGCUUGAUUAAAGAAAGGGGCAAUCAGUUCAGUUCAUAUUACUACUAAAUUAUUUUGUAUUUAUGUAUUACUUAUGUUGAGUUAAGCUGAAUUGUUAUUAUUAUUGUUUUUUUAAAUUCUAAUUUCUACACACAUGAUUAAGUAAAAAAAAUAUAUAAUUUAUACUUUAACACAUAUUCAAUUAUUGUAUAGAUUGUAAAUUUAUGUGAUGUAAUUCAAAUUGAACUCAUUAUUUAUUGAGUUGGUGUAUUAAAAAAAAAAAAAAUAGUUUAAAUCUUAGUUAAAAGUUAAAAUUAACUGAACUAUUAACAUUUGAACUCGUUAAUGCUCAGAGUUGGUUAAUUGUGUAACUAUAUAGGUAACGUACAGACUAUUUUUUUCAAUACACCUUAUUGAGUUACUUUUAAGUUACAAUAUGUGUUAAAAUAUGUAAUCCAAUAUUAUUUUCAUAUUGAUAAUUGAUGUGGAAUGACUAAAAAAUUUAACUUUAUUUAGACUCUGUAAAAUAUUAAAUUAUAUAAGUGACUUAUAACUAGUAAAUGUAUUGAUUUUUUUAAAGAGUAUGAUUAUUUUUUAGUAAUAAUUUUACUUAUAGUGAUUGAGGAAAAAAAAAUAAAAUAGAAAGUAACUGUAAAUUAAGUUAAUAAAAUUGAACCAGCUUUUCCAUAGUACAGUGUUCCAUUAUCACAAAUCAUGGAUUUUUUUGGACAUUUUUUUUUUUUGGUACCAUUAUAGAAUCGUUGAGGUUUUAUUUUAAUACCAUUUUCAAUUAUUUAUUAUUUUACCCCUACUCGUGUUUCUCUAUUCAUCAAGCAAGUAAGUUACACUUUUCUUCUUUUUCUACUCCUCUUUCAUUGCGACACAGGUAUUAUUAACUUUUGAUUUUCAAAUUGACUUAUAGAUAAAUUUGCCAUCUAAAAACGGAUAAUAUGAGAUCUAUUACAACUCGCUGUUAUCCUUUAUAAACGUAAACCCGAUAUUGCAUGGUAUCAAAAUGUAUGGACGAAUAAUCUCUAUUCGAUUUUGUGUUAAUAAGGUAAUGGGAAGGUGGUAUAUGGUGAGUUCUCUUAUUUUAAAAUCAAAAGUAUAUUAUACUAAUUUAAGGUAUUAUAAUAACGAGUAAAAAUAAAAAAUUAUGUUACAUAAAGGUUAAACGAUUUCAUGUAAUAAUAUUGAAAACUAAAAAUAUAUGUAUGUAUAAUACCUGUAUAUUCUAAUUGAUUUAAAAAUACAUUUUCCGGGAAACAGUUCACUCUGUAUAAAUGUGAUUUUUGACUGUUCAUUUUUUUUCCCCUGGAGCAUUUAGAUGGUGACGUUAAAACAUAACGUAUAUCAUAAUAUAUCGAAUAAAACUACGCAGUUUAUUAUGUAGUAAUAAAAUAAUGGUAUGUGCGCAGCAUCAUUAAUUAACCAACGACCACCGCGUGCAAUAAGACACAUAGAAGAUUAGGUAUAAAUAUUAAAACGAAAAAAAAAAAUGUAACGUUUCUAUUCCAAGAGUUCUCUAAUUCUUGCAUCACAGCAGUGCGAUUAUUAUGUCGCCACCGCCCGGACAGCAUAAAACCAGUAACUUUUUUUUUUUAUAGCUUCGUUGCGGGAGAUUACAAUAAAAAAUUUACGAUAUUAAAUUAUUAUAUAAUAUAAAACACCCAUAAAAUGUCGUUAUACAUGCAAUAGUAGUAGUGAACGAUACGACACGCAACUAAUGAAACAAUUUCGAAAAUCGAUAACGAGGAAUAAUAUUUUGACGAUGACCUAUUCGAUUUUGAGUGAAGCUAGUAAUGUAUUGGUUUCACUGCAUGUUUUUUUUUUUGUCUCUUCACAACUUUUUCUAACAGAAAUUCCACUCUAAUCAAAAACUGUACAUGAACUUUUUAGUAGAAUUUUUGAUCCAAUUGGUGCAUCGAGGUCAUUUUGUUAAAUUUUCCCCAAAAAUAGAGACUAUUGCGUUAUACUGCAUCUUCAAUAUAUUAUAUAAUUUCCCCAGUACUUAGGAACGUUUUCAAGCGGCUCACUCAGGACCAAAUGAGCUCAAACUUGAAAACUAAAGUGUUUUUGUCAGAUAAAAAGGGAAAUGUUAAGCUUUUUAACACCUCUUCUGAUCCCUCCCCCCAAAUGAAGCCCGAGGGAUGCAGGUUGUUUAUUAAUUUAUCUUGUCGUUUUCUGGAUAUUGGAAAAACGGACAAUUUUUGUUUUUUUUUCAGGCAACAUUGGGGAAAGAAUACAGUUCAUAAUGUUUCCAUAAUAGUUUUUUCUUAGCCAUGAUUUAUCGUCGAGUACAGAUAUAAAUUUUAUUACUCAUCUUUUUUAACUUCCCUCCCGAAGCAGUGGCACACCCAUUAGCAGUAACAGCCUUUUUUAAAAAAAUGUAUUUAUUUAUUUUUUUUUUUACAAUUUAACUAUAGUUGAACCAUUCAGAAAAAAAAAUAUACGUACACAUUCUUUACAUUCGGAACGGACCGCGCAACAUAACAAUAAUAGGUAACAUAUUUUCCCGUGCUGCAGCAAUUUUUAAAUACGCUAAAGUUUUCCCAUUACUUUACUAUAAUAGUAUAUUAUACUAGGUACGACCCGUGGUGUACUUUGAUUUUAGUGAGUCGAUUUAUCUUUUUUUUUUUUUUCUUUGUAGAACUUCGUUUUACCUUGUCGUGCUUAAUCGGAAUAUACGUAUUAUUAUUAUUAUUUUUUUUUAAUAAACUGCAGUGUAUUAUAUUUCUGUUUUAUUAUUAUUCGUAGUAGUGUAUACUAUAUUUACACCCGUAGCCGCACUAUAUUGUAAGUAAUGAGUUAGAACACACUUCGAAAAUUUAUAUGCAUAUGAAGGUGUAGGUAUUAUAGAUGUAUUAUAGGUGUACGUAUCUAUAUACGUACGGAAUUCUCAACAACUAGAAAUUGGAUUCGAUUGUUUCUUGUAAAACAUCACAACUUUGACGAUUAAUAUUUAUUAUUAUUUUCGUUUUUGAAUUAAACUAUCGUAUUCGAAAAUCCCAUAAGAAUAUGUUUAAAACAAUAUUACAUUUACCCGAGUUGAUUGAAAUUUGUUUUAAUAAUAAUUUUCGAAAUUUCGGUCGUCUCGCUUGAACAUCUUUGUUUUUAAGUUCAAAAAUAUCAACUGCGACCUUUUUAUUCUCAUUUAAUGCGUACCUAUUAUACACGCGACGGUAAAAACUGUUUUUUUUUUUUUAUUUUAACAUUUUAAUGAAGUAAAUUUAACGAAAUCUUUGUAAAAAUUAAAAAAAAAAAAAACAAUUGAAUAUAUGGACCAAAGUUCUUCCGUUUCCGACGGAGUUUUUUAUUUUUUUAUUUUUGAAAUUCUUAAUAUAGUGUUUUAAAUUAAACGAGUACCUAAUUAAAGUUCUAUUUUUUUUUCAUCCACUUCUAGAACAUUUGUUUUGUUUACAUUAUAAUGUUGCUAUGUACGCUUAAGAAUUUUCGCUAAAGGUCGAAUAGUAUACAAUAUAUCUAUAUACGUAUAUUUUAUUUUUUUAUAGCAAAGCGCGGCCAUUGAUGCAGUUUCUUCUAUCAGAAAAAAAAAGUUCGAGCGAUAUUCAGCAGGGAUAAUUAUUCUUUCGAUAUAUCUACUCGAGUAUCCGACAAUAUAAUAAUAUGACGUAUAUAAUUAAGGAGCUAAAGGGACUUUUUUUUUUUUCAUUUUAUCCUAUCUAAUAUAUACACAUAUAGUUCUUCGUUUUCUCGUUAGAUAUACCUAUUAUUAUAUAGAUUAGACAAUUUUAUAUGGAUAUAUUUUUUUUUUCACUUUGAGGCACAUUUUCUCGUGUAUAUAUCGACCGAAUUUCGUUCUGAUGCACCAUCGCCCUUCCUCCUCCCAUUCACUGGUUGUCCAACAACCCGGCAUAUCACCGCCGCGGGGAUCUGAAAAAAUACAUCAAAUCGCCAUUAACUCCGGCCUGGGUCUCUCCUAUUAUAUACUUGCGACUGCCGAUCUCCAAAUUUUCAUUUUUAUCGAUCAUUACCGUACGAGAGCUGAUUAUUAUACCGUGAAUAUUAAUAUUAUUGCUUUCGAAAACAACGCACUAUUAUAAUGAUUUUUUUUUUUAUCUGAAACGUUGCAUUUUUUUUAAAAACAAAUUUCGUCUAGAUGGUGCAUUGGAGAGGUCAUUUUAUGAUUCAAUUUUUAUUUUUUGACAUGACCGUAAAAAAAAAUUGGUGAAAAAUUCACUCUUUUUUUUUGAUAAUCGAAAAAAGGCUAUCGUAUAUAUUAUGACACUCAUUGUAUAAACUACAAAGUACUUUCGUACUAUUCCAAGUAAUCAAUAAAUAAUCAUAAUAUAUUAAUGACACGAUUUUUUCCGGUUUUGAUUAUUUCGAAUAUUUUAACAUGGUCACGUUUUAAUGACAUUUUUGAUUAAACUAUAUAGCUAUCUAUAAUAAUUUGUGAUAUUAAAAAUAUCGGACGCAACAACAAAUCUAACCGCGGAGUUAAAUAAUAAUUAUACGCAACGAUCCAUAUUGCAGUUACUGCACAAGCUAUAUAAUAAUAAUAUUGUUAAACGUGGAUUAUGAUACAGUAAAAUGUCUGAAUAGCGGAAACUCUCGACUAUCAAAUUUUGUCCGUUAUUAGAAGGUUUCCUCUGUUCAAAGGGGGUAUAUUUUCGAAAUUCAUAAAAGGUGAAUUUAGUAAAAGGAAAAAAUAUACGCUAAGGUAAAUUUAAUUAAAUAUAAAUACGUAAAAUAAUACAAAAAACCGGACAUUUUUUGCACGAUGGGCCACUGUUAUAGUAUAGAAUUUGGGAAGGUAGAAGGUAUAGAGAGGAAUUUAAUUUAUAUUUAUAUACUACGAUAAACCAUUGCUAACAAAAAAAUAUUUGAAGCGAAGUUUCUUUUAUACAAAUACGCGUAAAUUUUGAAAUUUUUCCUACGUUUUUCCCAAUUAUUACGAAAACCGCUAGGCAAAUCAAAAAUUAAUCACUAGAUACAAUUUCUUUGCAGAAAAGAUGCUACAAAAGAUACUUGAAAAUCGGAGCUGGAUUUCUGGUGGAAAAGUUCUUUACAAAUAAAAAUAAAAAUAAAUAUCAUUGUAAAACCAAUAUAUUCAUCGCUAUGCUCCAAAUCUAAAAAUAAAUGCAUACAUUUAUCACAUAUAAAUAUAUAUAUAUAUAUACAUAAAAUUCAAUUUUUCGUGAAAAAUCUAUCAAUUUGGUCUGUUUAUAAUUUCUGUACAGGCUCAUUAGUAAGUCAAUAUUCCAAAGUUACAAUAGAAAAGAAAAUAACACUGUUUUCUUCCUCUAAUUAAGAAACGAAGUGACCUACCGUCUUUUACGUCCUAGGGUUCCGUUGUUUUGACAAGGGUCUAAAAUUUCAAUUUAUAUGAAUGUAUGUUACAUUACAAUUUUCGGGAUACUAUUUUUUACAAAAUUAAUGUGUUGAAAAUUUUAAAAAGUAAAAUAAAAAAAUAUUUUUUCAGUGGACGAUUAAGAGAUAAAAAUAAAAAAAUUACUUUUUCUCUAACAUGCCCCUUAAACAAAACCCGAUUGAAAAAAAAAUGUAUAAAAAAAGAAUAAAUAUGUCCAGAGUUAUAAGUAUAAGGAGAAAACUCUAAGAUACUCUGUGUAUUUAAAGAAAAAAAAAAACUAUUCCCGCAUCGGUGAAUAAUACGAUACAAACUUAAUAGUUUUUAAAACGUAUAAAUUUGAUAACAUUAUUCUAAUCGGUGUGAUAAAAUCAAGUGGUACGACGAAUGAAAUACGAGGUUUUUAUUAGUGUUUUAUUUUACCGUGCAUGACUGCACAUGUUAUGUAUAAUAAUUUAAAUCAACACGUUCAAUUAAAUUUUAUAUUAAAACUAGCGGAUAAAAAUAUACGUCAAACGGUUUUCUAAUAUUAUUAUUAUUAUUAUUUUUUUAUUUCAAAACUUUGUUCCAUAGCUGCAUGUGAGAUCUUCGUUAAAAUUGAAAUUUUAUUCUCGUUUCAACAGCAGUUUGAAUUUUCGUAAUUGUUCUAAAUUGAAGUACGCGAACCGAUGUUGAAAUUGGAAAAACUGUUAAAGUUACAGAACGGUUUUAGAUUAUGGGAGUAGCAUAAUUACUAUAAUAUAAUGUGUAUUUUAUUUUCUGUCUGUGAACCGCUUUUCAAAAUUGUCUAUAUCUGAUCAUUAAGUGUAGUACUUAUUCUUAAAGCAAUGUUCAUCUAGUUUAUGCAUUGAGAAAGUAAUUUGUUGAUUAUUUCCUUACAGUUUUCUUAACAAUUAGGACAGCCCGGGAAAAAUACAGGAAAGUCUACUCAAUAAUGGUUUUUUUUUUUCAAGGGUUUAUUUUUAUAGUUGUUGCUAUAUGUGAAAAAUAACCAUACAAACAUGAAACUUGCGCAGAAUACUUAUAAUACCCUUUCUUGACUAUUUUUAAGCUUUUUAUAGCCAUUUGAAAUGUUCGUGGUUGCAUUAAGUUUUCUAUUUGGUUUAUUAUUUGGAAAAAAUCGUUUUACCCGGUAAAUAUGUUCAGAAAUUGAACAUGAUGUUUAUCAUAUUAUGUUGUGCUUAGUGGUUAAAAAAAAAAAAAAAAAAAAAAAUGAGCGCAAUAUAAUUUAACUAUGUUUUAUAAGCGUGUAAACUUCAAACUUUAAUGAAAAUCUUUAAGAUUGACGGCAUUUCAAAUCACGUUUAACCGAACAUCUUACACAAUCGUUUUUCGUUUGCAAAAAUUUAUCGUUUUUGCCUGCAGAUUUAUGAAUUAAUAAAUUGCUUUUUAAAUGUAUAUAUAUAUAAACCACACUCUGUCUACUAAAAUAACGGCAAACCAAAUAGCAGUAUCGGCUCUUUUUGUUUUUUUGUUCUGUAUUCCAAUAACAAACAAUAUAUAUUAUUUUUAAUUGUACAGGUUUACCUACAACCGACCGAUAUACGGCUGCAGGUAUACCUACUGUUUAUGCAGACUUAAAAUAAAUUAAAGUUUAUAUUAAUUAUUUGUCUUGGAAACUUUAUCACCCCGCCGCUGUAGAUAUAGACGUAUACGCAAAUUCAAUUUCCACUUGAAAAUAAUCGUAUAUAAUUUCGUUUCGACUUACGAGUUUUGUCGGGUAGUUAUAAUUUCGUUUCGGGAGACGUUUUACCGGGCGCCAGUGCAGCGCGAGCGCCUUAAUAAGAUUUAACAAUCAGUUUACUUAAGUAUUAUUAUAAUUAUUAUUAUUGUUAUUAUUAUAUAUUAGGAUUGAGUUGUUUGAGUUAAUAUUAUAAUAAAAUAUAAAUCUUGUCGGUAAAUAUCGAACCCCAACCGUAUAGAAUCGUGUGCAUAGAGUGAGAACUUUGUGGGCGCAGCCGCCGGCCGAGACGAUUAGAUCGAUUGAAACGGUGUUAUAAAUUGAGUUUAAUAAAAUGAAACUUCCGUUGACAGUCUCCUCUCGUGGCGUACAUUGGUAAUUUUUGUUAAAUGUUUUCUCAGAAAUAGAGACUAUUGCUCUACAUAGAUUCUGUUAUAAAUACUUUUACAUAUCUUCACCGUUACUUUGGGAUAUCAUUAGCGACUCCCUCUAGACAAAAUGAGCUCAAACUCAAUAAAUAUAGUUCUUUUGUAGGCGGAUGAAAGUGAUUAAAUUAUAGUUAAAUUUUAACAUAAAUUGCACCGUGUUGCAUGAAGAUGAUAUUUUUCGGCUUUCUACGCCCCUACAGACCCCCCAAAUGAGAUUAAGAUAAACUUUCAUAUUUACACGGUUUAAUUAUCCUAGGAUUAACAUUUUUAGAGCUUUUACUUUCAAUGCUCUCCGCGAUCAUUUGCUUACUUAAAUUUCAUGUUUUCACACGAAAUACACAGGUAAAUUAAGUUUAAUUCUGACAAACAAUAUUAUUUUAGAUUAAUUAUCAAUAAAAUAUUGUAACGGAGCUUUGUUGUUCAUUGAUGUUUGUUUUUUUUAUUUGGUUUCAACAAUGUCUAAAAAAGUCUUGUAAAGUAUUUUAGGUGAAAUACAUUACGAUUUCUCCGGAUACUUUAAAUAAUUAGGUCAUAGAAGAAACCGGAAAUAGAUGUACCUAACAAAUAUUAAAGUAUAUUUUUAAACCAAUUUCAAAAAAGAACGGACAUACUCCGCACGUGGGAAGAUAGGAAACAGACGAGAAUUUACAGUAUAUCUUUAAGCAACGAUAAACCAUUGCUAACUAAUUUAAUAAUUACACUCUACAUAAGCGAUCAUCUAAAAACAAAGUACGAUAAUUAUUUCUGGCCCCUUUGUUUAGUGUAGCACUCAUCAUUUUUAAUAGGGAAGGUCACAGCUUAACUAAAGAUUCUACACAAAAAAAAAAAAUUCUUAGCAAAUAUGUUUUUGCAUACCUAGUACAUUAUUAUUUGUACUUAUAGUUAAAUAAACUGUGCCUAUGUGCAUUAGUAAUAAGUUUUCAGUGCUAAAUAAUUUAUAUUAUUGUUUUCACAUUUAAUGCAAUCAAUGUGAGGGACUGAAGUCCCUUAAGCUCAUAAGGGGCUAAAUCUACACUGCCCUCGGUGCCCGUCAAACAGAAGUUCUAUUAGUGUAAUAAUAAUACAACAAACUGUGCGGGAUUUAGAGCAUUUUGGCGGUAUGAAAAUAUAUUAUUAAAUAAAUAUAGUGACUGUAGCAGUAGCACACAGCGGAAGCUCCGCAAACGGAGUUCCGAUAAAAACCAUUUCCGCGACAACGACGCGGAUCGAACGAAAAUUCGCCAAUUUCGUCAAACGACCUCCCACGUCGACGACGUUGUCAGCGACAAGAGCGUGGUGUUUUUUUUUUAGUCUCGAGUAACGAAAAAAUAUGUAUAAAAAAUCUAUCGGAACCGGAAAACGCGCUCGCACACGCACAUCCGAUCGCCGAAAAACCAAAAAAAAAAAAAAACCGCGUUAUAUUCACUAUAAAAUGUAUUCAAUUAUUAUGAAUAAUAAUAAUUUGCCUAGGAAAUUGAAUAAAAAGAAUCGAAAACGGGCGAAAUAGACACGGAAACAAAUUAUAAAAUGCAAUACAUAGAUUUACUAAUUAAAAAUUAAUCGUAUUGUCCCACUGGUCUUUUCCCCAUUCGGACGUUAUUAAUUGGUGUACUGUGCCAUGUAUAAUAUCCAUCGUAUUGCACGUAACCCAGACAUCUGAUAACCAAAAAAGGGUAUCCGGGGUUAAAUAAAAUACAUUAUUUUUAUGGAUUUUUUUUUCCACGAAAUCGGGUUUAUCACACGUGCAUCGUAAUUAUUAUAAUAAAUAGUAUCAGCCAUAAUGUAUAGAUAUAAGGCCGUGUGUACUAUCUAUGAUUAUAUUCAUGAUGUAUCAUUGAUGCUUUUCGUAGGAGAAACUGGAUACGUUUCUUUUCUUCUCCCAGUUACUCAUUUUUUUUUUUCAUUAGAUGUUAUCUGAUUAAUUUUUAUUCUGCACUAUAGAUAUAAUAAUAGAUCCAAUAUUUUUCUCAGAAUCUAAUGUCAUAUUUGUUUUGUCAGAUAAAUGCGUUGAAUCAUAAAUCAAUUGUAUUAAAGAGAAAUUUGACACUUUCAAAAAAUUAUACUUGUCGCGUUGGUUAGAUUAGGUUUGCAUCGAGGCAAAACAAAUAUUUUUGUGAAGAUUCAAGAGUUCCAAUAUAAAAUUUGAAAGUGAUUUUUUUAUUGUUUUAAUAGUUUUCUUUCAAGUGCUUAUUUCAGUAUUUAUAGAACGUUUAAACCUUUUAGUUACUGAAAAAGCUGCUAAAUACAUCGUAUAAUGAUUUUUUUUAAUGGCUCUCAUUUUUGUUGAUUUUAAGUGAUAUAAGCCCCGAAACCUGAUUAUAACUUAUGAACUUCUACUAUUCUUUAUAUAAUAUUCUCUCAUAAUAUAUUAUCUUCUGCUAUUUAUAUAUGUAUGUUGUACACAUAUAUACAAUAAUUCUGAACCCUAAUAAUUUGUACUAUUUUUUUUCUUUACUGAACUUCUCGGUUUAUCCCUGUUUAAAGCGUCAAUUAGUCUUAUACUAACUUAUCAACCACUAUCACCCUAUCUGUGGACAUCGUUGUCGAGGAUUUCCACGUUACCGUUUUUAAUGAGUCUGUGUUAAGCUCGUCACACAAAUCCAACCCACUCCAGUCACUUAGAAUACCUAAUACAUGUUUGAAAUUAGGAUUAUUAUGUACAGCUGCUCAAGAUUUGUAUGUUUUUUCUUCAUUUAUAUUUGUAUGGAUUUCCGUUUCUUAUGUAGGUCUAUUUAUCCCGCUUAAUAUAAUAUAUACAAAAGCUUAUUUUAAUUGGCGGAUGGAUAUUUGUAUGUUUGUUACCAUUUAUCGCCUAAAUUACUGAACGGAUUGAAUUUUGAUUGUAUGUAGUUCUAGACCAGAAAUAAUAUACAAGCUUCAUUUUUAUAUCCCAUAUUUAUACUCUAUAAAAGGUGUGAUAUAGAGUUAUUGGUAUUUUUAGUAUAAAAAUACAAUAAUUUGUAUUGAUUUAUGGAUUACCUUGGUAAUACAGAUGGAAUAAAUAAAUUUAAAAAAAACAUGAUAAAAAAAAUAACGGGGAAAUACUUCUCACGUGGGUGCAGCUCCUUUUAUCGUUGGGAAGUUAUGAAGGUAGUAUACCGACGGGAAUUUAAUGUAUAUCUGUAAGCAACAAUAAACUAUUGAUAACGAAAAAACGAUUCUAAGCGGAGUUCAAUUAAUAGUAUUGCUUUGUAAACAAUAUAACAUGACAAAAGUGAUUGUUUAAAAAAAGAUUUAAAAUAAUAAAACCUUAAUAAUAACAAAAAAUUAAUAAAAACGGUACCAAUAAUCUUAUUUAUUUUUAAUAUUUCAAUAUUUUUUAAUCUAAAGAACCAGGUUUUACUCAUUAUCUCGAAUACUAAUGAAAAUUUUUAAAAAAUGAUCUCUUUAAAGUACCACCCAGAGAACAUUUCCUUUUAGAAAAGGUGCUAUAUUUGAUAAUCGGAGUAUGCUUUCUGGUAGAAAAGAGGUUUAUAUAUAUAUGUAUAAAAAAAAAAAAAAUAAUCAUUAAAAAACUAAUUUUAUCCUCACUUCACUCAGAAUUUAAAAUAAAUAAUAAGGUAAUCCGUAAAAAUCCGUAAUAUUGUUGUCGCGAGGAUACCCACAACGAUCAGUAGUUACCAUAGACUGGUUAACUUAAUUUAUUGUUUGAUUGUUAGUAAUUAUAUCUAAACCUCAUUUGAAGUAUGGCCAAAACAGGGAAAGACGCUUUUAUUCGUUUACAAAAUGUUCGUUCAAUACCUACACAGGGAAAAUUGUACGGGAUCGCUAGUCUUUCAUAAACACUAUUCUUUCAAUAUAAUUUGUAAUUGUUCCACGUCUCUCGUUGUAUGGUUGCAGAUCACGUUUCACAGGCGGACAUGAUAAUAAUUAGUCAGUGAUAACACUCGCGUAAAUAAUGGUUUUUCUUUAGUUUUCCACGAUGACAUUCUGAAACUAAACAUGGAGUCCUAAUAAUAAUAAUAAUAAUACUAAAUAUAUACAAGGGGCUUGAGGCGCGUAAUAUUUUUAAUCCGUCACUAAUCCUUUGCACGUGUGAGCAGAGUGCGUUCGCGGACGACGACGACGCCUCGCAAGAUAAUUUAUGAUGAAUACGCACACUUAUGUCGCGGAGUAUGUAUGUCUGCUCGAUGAACCGUCGUCGGCGUCGUGUUUAUAUACAGAGUGAUCAACAUGACGAUAGGCAUUCAUUAAUCCUGAAAGUAUUAACUUUAUUCGACGUUUCUUUUUUAGAAUAUUUUAAGAAACAAGCCACUAUAAAAUGUGUACAUUAUUACCAUACAUUUUUUUGUCAUCUUUAUAUUUGGGUAUGAAUCCACUUCUCAAAUACCUAGUAACGUGUAUUUAAACUUUCAUCGUAAAUAUACGAAGUCUUGGUUUGAAUACAUAAAAUACAUAUUGGUAUUGAAAUCUGAAAUUUCCGUCAACACGUCGACGAGAUAUUCGUCACUUGUAAGUUCGGUUAUAGAAGGAAAGUAGUGGACCAUCAUUUGUGCGGUUGUGCGGCUCGCGGCGUUCGUAUAGUGCUGCACUACGUAAACUUAAAAGUGGAAUAUCUCGUCAACGAGUCGACAGAAAUUAAAAAUGUCAACGCCAUAAUAUGUAUUGGAGCUAUUGUGGAACGUUGAGUAUAAGUUUGCUAUUCGAAAAUCAAAAGUGGGUAGGUUUAUGGAAGUUUCGCCACUCAAAAGUAACGGUGACGAAAAAUAACCGAAUUCCGAAAAAAGUUCAAAUUGGUUCCGAGAUAAUGGCUUUUUUACGUUAUCAUACGUGGUUCGCCCUGUAUUUUGUUCACAAAAAUACCGUGUCGAUCUCGACGGAGCCUCGCGGUCGUCCGUUGAGUUCCCGUCUCCGGCCGGCGGCGGCGGCGGCGGAACAGUCACCUCGGCGUACAGUAAGUUACGCUCCGAUGCCGCCGACGAGACUUUGCGCCCGAGAAACACAUGGCGGCUGUGACGGCGAAUCCCCGAAACGAAACGAAAAUAAUAAUAACAGUAAAAAAUAACGCCGGUCGAGUAUAUAAUAUUAUAAUGGUAUUCUAUUUUUUUUUUUCUCCCCGAACCAAUUAUGCGGCCGUACAUAUAUACCCAAAUGUCAUAUUUUUAAGUUUAUUUUUUUUUUCCGGACAAAAGUGUAUAAUAUUAUACCUAUUAUAAUAUUUUCGUCUGGCACGAUGGCGUUUCGGGAGGACAAAAAAUGUUUAACGGCGGCGGCGUAGUAUAGUACGAUUAUAAUGAUUUUUUUUUUUCCCCACUAUAUAAUAUAUCGUUAAGUCCGCUUCGUCGAUUUUUGUUCCAGUUUUUUUUUUUUUUUUUCGAAUUCCGUCUCAUUAUAUUAUUAUACGUUUUAUAGUUUAUGGCGCAAUUACUUUUGCCACCGCGCACAAUACGAGCCGUCGUCGUUAUUAUUAUCAAGGGAAACUAACUAUAUAGGUAUACCAAUAAUCGCAUUAUUGAUAAUGCAUGAAAUCUGGCUUUUAUGCGGAAACUAAAAAAAAAAAAAAAAAAUAUAGGUAUUAAUGAAUAAUAAAUUAUAGACAGUGUUCGAUCGGACAGUUUUAAAUCACUAAAAUAUGAUUAUUCAAUUCUUUUUCGUGAAUCAGCGAUUGUCUAUGAACUACAUGCGGGUAUUCAUUCACGAAGAUUUUUAGGUUCCCGUUUAAGAUAUUAUUUUCGAAAAUGUUAGGCUUAUUCCGAAAAUGCAACGUAGUAUUUUAAGCACAGUAUAAAGAUACGUUUUCAAGUAUGUAAAUAGAUGUACGAAAUAAUAGAGAGAUUGCUACAGAACAAUUAUCUAGAUAAUUCUAAACAAACAGGAUCAUUUAUUUAGAUAAAAACAAAAAUAAUUUUGUUCGUUUCCCUAAUCGUGGAACAAAGUUCUAAAAGUAUAUCUAAUAAAAGUGCGUACAAUAUUUGGUACACGUUUUGAUUUCGAAUUCGAGUUGUGUUACGUAUCUUAAUAGAUACUCGAUUAGUUUGUUAAACCAUAUUAAUAUUAAUUAAAUAUUUUACCUAUUUUUUCUAACAAAUAUAUCAAUUACGAUUUAAAAAUAUUUAUGCAGACGGUUCGAUUAUUUGUCUCAGGUAAAGACUCAGUUAACUAACUUCUCAUUUAUCUAUAGUUCGGCGUCGCCGCAAAAACAUUUACGGGCACGGCACUGGUAGUAAAUAAUUCGCGUCUCGAGGAAUCCCAACUCUGACCCAACCACAGUUUGUCAACAAUUAACCGAAAAUAUACAAGGGCGUAGGGAGAAUUCGUGGGUGUGGAACUCUUUCAUGGGUUAGCCCUUGGGUUGUCCGCGGAACACACUUUGGGAACUGCUGGAAAAAAAAUACAAAUAUACCUGUCUACAAAAAAAAAAAAAAAAACACAACACUGCAUAUUAUCAUAAAUCAUUUUUUCGGAUUUUCAUACACCGACCAUCAACAAACGAUUCUAAAUUACGUAUUAUUCUAACGUCUGGGUUUGAAAAAUAACGUAGAAUAACGUGAAUGUAAUAUAAUUGUAUUGAUAUAAUCUCUAGCUCGAGGGUGCCCAAAAAUAUCAACAACAGAACCGUCACUUAUCGUAUAAUUUUGAUGUUAUUUUAGGACUAAACAACCGCGUUGAACAAUACAUUAUGGAAAGUCAUAUUCUUCGUGCCGAUGACAAUGAUAUUAUUAUCAUCAAAUAUGCGUUCAAACUCUUCAAUCUCAUAACGCAUACCGUGUGUAUAAUGCAUCGAAAAAUAAAUAUUAUUUACAAACAAAUCCGUCUGCCUCCCGGCAAUCGGUUUGUCGAUAAUAUGAUAAUACAAUCCGUUCCGUGGAAAUAAUAAACCGGUUUAUGAAUAUAAUAACAAAUAAUCGUGUUCGCGAAUCCCUCUCCUAAUACGACACGAAAUACUAUAAUAUUUUACACAUGUCUGCAGUAAAUAUUUUCCGUAAGAAGAACCUAUCGGUUUUACUGACGUGUGUUUUAUUUAUCAUUAUUUUUUAUUUUCAUCGGAAAACAUUUUUUCCUCAAAAAACGUGCGGUUCCCGUUUGACGGAAUUUUAUUCAAACAUAUUUUCGAAGUUCUUAACUUAAGCUCAUCGCUUAGAUCAUUUGGUCGUUUCUUUUUUCUUUCGGAAAUCACUUGGUCGCACGCAGAAGUGUCUACCUGAAAAGACGUUGAAUAAUCGUCCGGUGAUAUUUAUUGUUUGAACAAUUUGUGUCCGUAUACCAAAUAGUUUUACUGAAACAUAGAAAAAAAAAAAACUGUCAACAAAACGAAACGGUUACGAUAGGUUUUAUUUUUGUUUACUUCCGGGUUACCUUUGUGGCCACAGUAGUAGAAAAAAUACGACUAUAACACUACUCGGCUCAACAUUGUUUCUCGAUUGCAAUGAUUUAUCGUUGCUAUAAGUAUAUCAUACAUUUGAAUAAUACGAUACCAUAUCCUAUACAUACAUACAUAUACAACCUGCAAUGGCCUUGCCGAAGUACCCAAAUAAAAGUACAUGACUAAAGUACGUGAAAUACUCGUAUACUACGACGAUGCUGACGAAUAAUCGUCGGUAUAUUAUAUUAGAGUGAAAUAUUCGAGAAAAUCGAAUUGAAUAUAAUAUUUUUGUCUCAUACGUACAGAGUGUGCAUGUAAGUGUAUGUAUAAAUAUUUAAUAUUGUAUAUUUUGAAAAUUCACACAGAAACGCACCGCGCCACGACAAGCCAUUAUCGAAUCAUGUAUUAUUUUAUACGAAUAUUGUCUUUGUUUAAGAAGAUGAAAAACCGCACAGAAACGUUUUAGUUUGAUGUUCGAGUUUGUUAACACUCGAACAAUAAAUACAUAAAUACAUUAUAUAGGCGGGAAUUUGGUCACGUGUUUGUUGGAGGAAGGCUUUUCAUUUUUACCUAUAUUACCCUGCCCAUUCACAAAGUCAUUUCGCAUCGACCUAUUGCUUGUCUUUUUCUAACUGUAACUUGAGACUUUAUCAUUAAUACAGUCAUCAUUGCAUUAUUAUUUUGUUAACUUUCACUGUAAGUAUAUCUAUAAAAGUAAACUCUUACGAAGAAAAUGAUUGGCAAAUUAAUUAAAAAGGUGUUGCGAAAAGAAACCUUCCACAGCUUAAAAACAUUCUGAAUGGGAGCUUAAGUCUCUUUCCUAAUAUAUCCGUCCAUGUAGAUAUUAUAUGGAAAUACAACUCAAAAUAAUUAUGUUGAUGAUUUUUUUUUUCCCAUCAUUUCGAUAUCAGAGGUCACGGGAUUUUUUUAGCGUUUCGUCCCAUCAUCCUCGUCGUAAUAAUAAUUUACUGACCUAUCCGAAAUGUCGAAGAGGAAAAAUCAGAUUUCAAUUACGAUAUACGUAUGUAUAGGCAACGAAACGGCUAAAAUCGAACGCCACGUAGCUAUACGUAUUAUAUGUACGCGUACGAAAAUAAUAAUAAUAAUAAUAAUUUUAAAAACUUUUUUAAUAUCGGGCAGCUGUAAAAAACGUACAUACGUAUAUAAAAACUUCAAUUCUGCGCGUUGCCCUAAAUACUACUACCGUAACGGCGGCCCGCGGGCCCACACGGGGAAAAGGCGUUUCGUGUUUUUUUUUUUGUUGUUUCCUCCCCUCCUCGGCUUCAAUCGUGUCGGAGAAAUAAAAAACAAUUUUCACGCACGCGUUCCGCCGCUAUUAUACGCGCAUACCGUAGAAAUUAUGGUUUGCAUGUGUUUUUUUUUUUCUGUUCCCAAAUGUUGUUGAUUAUUACGAGAUUUAUAAAAUAUACAUAAAUACGCGUUCGUUACGCCGCACUUUACCGCCGUUGUAAAUUUCCGGGGCCGAUAUAAUUUGAUAUAUUUUUAUGUCGAAUUUGUUGUGGCUUUUUUCAUUCGGGUGCCUAAUCCGGGUAUAAAAUGUUAUUAUUCAUUUAUAAUAUUAUGCCGAUAUACCCACUUCAAUUAUUCCCGUUUAUAUUUUUCUUUCGGAAUUUUAUCAGAUUAAUCAUAUAGGCGUGCUUGCUAACUAGGUAUACCCUGUAUAAACGCGAGGCGAAAAUGCGUAAAACUGAAACACUAAUAAAAACCACAAAAAAAAAUAAUAAUAAUAAUAAUAAUAAUAAUAAAUAAAAAAAAAAACCCCUCAUAAAACACCGUAUCAUAUACGAUGACGUCAUUUCUUUACAAUAGGUAUAUUGCAGCUAUAGUUUAUGCCGGUUACUAGUGGUCCGGUCUUUUAUUUUAUAUUUUUUUAAUUAUAUAGUAUUAUAGUGUAUUAUCGUAUUACUACAUCUCAUUUCCUAUACAUAUGCAUAAUAUAAUAUAUUAAAUUUGUAUAGCGUAUAGGUACACGGGUAUAAUAUGUAAUUAUGAUUAUUGCUCCUCUCCGAAACGCAUCUGUUAUACUUCUAUACAUGCAUAUAUUAAAUUUUUCAAUUACAUUUUCUCUAAUUCUAUUAAUAUUGCCUGGACGUUUUUUACACCAUAUAGUGGUGAUAAUAUUAACGACACUAUGAAAACGAAAAAUACCGAGUACAUUUUUUCCCCGAAAUUAAUACUUAACGAUAGGGAUGGAUUCUCAUUACAUCGGUGAGAGUGUCAUUUCAAUAUAUUUAUAGGCCGUCGCAGUGCUAGGUAAAAAAUAUCAUGGGGGUGGAGAAUGUUUUUAUUAUUACCUACCUACUUUUUUUUAGCAUAAUUGAAUACACCAAAAUUUCGUAAAUAACGAAUUAAAAAAAAUAACAACCUCCCGUUAAGACCGGCGAAAAUUUUCGAAUUGGCCCACCGACGAGGAUUUCACUUGUCGAAAAAAAACUUCCUCCGUUUAUUCAUAUAGGUGUACUCCAGAAUUUCACGUACUUUCAAAGAAAUAGGUAUGCCUGUACGUCCUACAUAAUUAUUAUAUGUAUUUUCGUGGUGUUUAUUGUUUAAAUUUCACUCGAGAUAAAAACCGUCGUUAAGUAUCACGAAAAUUAAUCGGAAAAUAGGAAAAAUCGAAAUUUCGACUGCGGAUUGCUAUAAGCUUGUGUAAUCUGUGAGUGUAUAAAAAGCGAACAAAAUGUAUAAUAUAUUUAGUAGAUAUACCUGUCUAGAAAAAAUUUGUCAAUGCUUUGAAAUUUUUUUUUCUUAAAUCCAAUGGUUUGUAGAGAUCAACCAUCAAAAUAUUAUGUCCACGAGACUAAAAAUUAUAUCGGGCAAAUGCUCAAGUUGUACCCCUCCAAAUGACGCCAUUGACGAAUAUAUCAUUUAUUGAUUAACAAGACUCUUGUGACGGUACAAACUUAAAUAUUGUGUGAGACAACAGACAAUUAUUAUUUGAUUCGCUCGCCUAUUUAUAUUUAAACGCCGGAAAUAAAAUAAUUCGAGCUAAUUCCACUCGCCUUUUUAUGACUUUCGCA